CAGAAAAACAACUCUAGUCGAACAUGUAUAUAUGGUUUUUUUUGUCCGAAAAUGUAGCUGAUCGAAGAGAAUCGCAUUAUUUACUGCGUGCUUCUCCGACUUCCCAGUGACCUCCAGAGGUUGUAUUACUGCAUGACCAUUUUGCAAACUGGAAGAUGAAAGAACGUGACUGUUACACAUUUCUUUCUGACUCAUUUAGGAACCCAAAGCUUGGCAGAAAUUUGAGAUCUAAUUUUAAUAAUAUUAGUAACAUAUAAAUAAUUAAUAAUAUUAGUGAACAAAAUAUAAAUGUCUUUCCUUGGGAAGUGAAAAGAGAUAGCUGGGGGAGCAACGCAAAGCCCUAUAUUGGAUCUUAUAACACUAAAAUCUUGAGGCACUACUGAUAAUAUUAAUACUGACACUUGCUCAUAACACUGAAAUCUUGAAUAUCACAUUGAUUGGUAGGAUUCCGAUUCUAGGAGCCAAUACAUUACUUUCUUGAUUCGAUUCUUGAGCAAUUUGGGCCAUUGAAUUUCCAUGUGAUCUAACAGUCAAGAUUAAUAGGGGCAAUAUGGUCAUGUUGUUUUUAAUAUUUAUGUUGGAUUAGAAUCGACCCAUCUUCGAUCACCGUUUCCAUCGCCGAAACACCGUCUUUGGUCAUUGAUCACCCGGUCACCGGAAAGUUUCUGGGCAACUCCAACCUCGAUUGACGAAAAUUUUUGCACUCACGUGAUCAUUGUCUUCGGCUCUACGUUUCUUUUAAAAAACUAUUUUACUAGAAAUAUUUUCCAACGAUUGGCCAAAAUUGCAUGGAUCAUUCAAAUGUGUAUAGGUUCGUACAAAUCCGUACUGAAGUGUAUACACAUUCAUAUUGUUUCUGUACAAAAUGUAAUACUUCGUACAAUACUUAGUAUACACAUUUAUAUUGCCGUACAAUGUCCAUUUGGCCCAUAUAUUUUCAGCCGUUAGAUCUAAAAUAAGAUUUUUAAACGGUUGAGAUUUGUGUAGGCAUUAUGGAUUAAAUACAGAAGUCAUUUCAGCGGCUCCAGAUUCGGAGAUGUAGCUAGUGAAAUGGUCAUAUGCGUGUGUUUCAUAAUUAAAGACAGAAAGCUAUGAUGAUAAAGUGGAAUUUCAUUUGGGUAGCUUGAGUACUGAAAGAAAAUGCAGAGAAGUUGUAAUGAAGAAGAAGAAGAAAAAGAAGAGAGUAUAAUAAUGCAGGGAUUGUACAACAAGGGCGGUGGUGGAGUGGUGGCGCCAUUCUUAACAAAGACAUACAAGCUGGUGGAUGAUCCAAUGACAGACCACAUUGUGUCUUGGGGAAGCAAUGAUAUGAAUGAUCCAAUGGCGGCCAUGAUGAUGAUGAGUACAUUUGUGGUAUGGAGACCUCCAGAGUUUGCAAGAGAUCUCCUCCCUAACUACUUCAAACACAACAACUUCUCCAGUUUCGUCCGCCAGCUCAACACCUAUGUACGUCGUAUAUAUGCAUCUCGCGUCUCUUUUACUUUAUCCAACUCAACAACCUAUCUGGAAAAUGUAAGUGUUGUACUUAUUUUCUGAUGAUAUUAAAGGUAUUAAUACUGCAGGGAUUCAAGAAGGUAGCAGCAGAAAGAUGGGAGUUUGGGAACGACUACUUCAGGAAAGGUGCAAAGCAGUUGCUCUCCCAUAUUCACCGUAGAAAAUCACCCCAUCAUUAUAACGAUCAUCAUCAGCAUGACUUCAUAUUUCAGCUCCCACACCAUCACAUAUUCCUGCCAUCACCACCGCCCCCGCCACCAGCAGUACAUUAUGUAUUAUCUCCGGCGACCGUUCAGAUGAUGAUGAGAUGAUGAUGUUGAGGGCACUUUCGGAGGAUAACCAGCGGCUGAAGAAGAGGAACUUGGCUCUGCUCUCUGAGCUCUCCCACAUGAAGUCAUUGUACAACGACAUCAUCUACUUCAUCCAAAACCAUCUCAAGCCUCACCACUGUUUUCCUUAUCAUCAUCAUCAUCCCCCUACUACCACUACCACUACUAAUAAUAAUAAUAACAAGCUCGUGGAACUGCAGAGUGAUACUAAGGAGGAUGACAGGGACGGUGGGGGCUGCACUGGUGGGGUAAAGCUGUUUGGGGUGUCGCUUUGUGGGAAGAAGAGGCAACUCCAUUCUGAUCAUCAUUAUUUCACUGCUCUUUGUCCUCUUUCAUCCUCCUCUUCCUUAUGAUCUUUCCAGUUACUUCUCUUAGGUCUAAUUAAAGUUGUUUGCUUUCACCUUUUCUUACUCCCCCAAAAGGCCGGUUACUAUUAAGAAACUUAUCUCUACCUUCUCUUUGUUUUGUUUUGUUUUGUAAUGACUUUUAGAACCAUUCCGGAAUAUCCAAUCAAGUUAAUUUAACGAAUUGUAUAUGAUUCAACACAACAUUGAAUGAAAAGAUGAGUAAUUCAAAAUCGAAUUAGUCAAAUUUUUCAUAUCAUAAAGAACGGAUUCAGAAAGUGACAACUUUUAAAUAUUAUUGGGCUGAAUACGGUUAUGUAGGAUUUUAAUAAUUUUUUAGGACCAGAACCCGACUAUCUUUGGUCGACGGACAACGUCUCCGAUGAUCGGAUCACCAUCUCUUAUACCAGAAAGUUUCAUGUUCAAUUUUAUACACCUAGUACGAACUAUGUAUAUAAGUUUGAAUAGAUCUGUACAAGUUGUAGCGAAGGUCGUUGUAUACACCUACCAAUUCUAAAUCAUGCAUGUGAUAGUCGUUCUGAUGCUCUUUGUACAAGCUUUCUAGAAGCAUAAGCUACCACUCUCCCAUAAUGCAUAAGUACACACCCCAUGCCUUGAUAAGAAACAUUACUAUACACCACAUACUCACCUCCACUGGCUAAGAAGGUGAUGAUGGGAGUUGUAGUGAGUAUUCUCUUCAACUCCUCAAAGCUUUCAUGGUCGCCGACAAGAAGUACCUUACAAGGCGAGUGUGGGGUGUGCCUACUAUUGGUCUCAAAACGAGACACAUGAACACUUGUUUUGUUCAUGCCUUGUACUUGUGGGGUGUUGGGAGGUGAGCAGGUUGAUGAGUUGGGUGCGGCAGCUGGAUGGAUUUGAAGUGGAUGUUAAGAGAUGGUUCUUUGGGGUAAUUAAGUUGGGUGGGAACUACAUUACUCGAAGACAUCAUUUGGGGUUUGUGGCAUGAGCGGACAAGCGAAUUUUUCAAAUGCACUCUACAACUUUAGAAAUGGUAGUUAGGUGGCGCUUUGAUGAACUAGAAAAGUAACUAGAAAUUCAAAGAUUGAGGUGUUUGAAGUUGUCGCCAAGGCAUCACCCAUGCCCACAUUGGCAUGUAACUCCGCCAGGGUACGUAAAAUGUAAUGCAAACGAUGUUAUCUUUUGCCCCGGAUGGGGAUUAUGGGAUCAAUCUUGCGGUGAGGGAUGGGGGGUGCUUUUACAGUUCCUGAUGCAACAUCGACACAAAUGUAUCGAGGUGAGGAAGGUGGAGUCCUCAACAUUUCUUAUGUUGUUAAAAUGGGCACAUAGUAUGGGGGUAUGAGAAGACAAUCUUUGAAACUCACAACUAGAUGGUAGCCAGGCUGUUAAUGAAACAUAACCGUAUAUUUCAGAAUUUGGGGCCAUAUACACAAAAUACCUUUAUUGCAAUUACUCGGGUCGGAAGAAAUUGGAAUGAGGUUAUGUGUGAGCUUGCUUGGAAUGCUCAAGGACUGGCAUCUAUUGUGAAAUCCGACUCUAGAAGGCCUGGUCGAAUCUUUGGUUUGACCCAUGCAACCUAUUCGGGUUCUACUCAAACCUACAACUGCUAAUAAAAGCCAAACAUUCAAACCAAACUAAAAUCCUUUAUUAAUUCUUUCGAAUUCUGACAUACAAGGUUCUCGGAUCUUGAAAUACAAAACAUAAAGAGAGGAGAUGAAACUCUCAAGUUCUAAAUACAUCAAAAGCGGAUAUCAGAUGAUAUCAAAACUGCAACCAGCUCAUCCCACCUCUAGCUCCGGCACCUGUGACUGUACACACAAAGAUACAACAUGGAAACAAACAUCUACCGAGUUUGGUGCUCAGCACUGAGUCGCUAACUGAACAACAUGUAUACCCGCGAGUGAGGACAAGGAUAGAACAUAUAAGUCAUCCUAGUCUCUACUAUAAUAAUGUGACCGUGUGGUCUUGUAGGAAAAAACCUAGCAUCAGUCAUCCCUAGCUAUGUGGAUAGCGUCAUGGUGGAUCAGACCAUGAAACUACCUUGAAAAACGUGUGAGCAGUAUCUGUAAGCACACUCAAUAUGUCAUGCCUGAAACCUAAAAGUCAACUGAGAGAUUAUGCAAUCCGGGGGUGGAUUUGGCUUUUAUAAUAAGUCCACUAUGCCCGUGACGGACUUACCACAACGCCCGUGACUACCUGUCAACCACGCCCGUGAACUACUGAUGGUCACGAACGUGUUUCUCUGGUGGUCACGCUCGUGACUGACUGCUGACCACGACCUUGGUUGAUUUGACAAAACCCAACAAACUCAAACCAAAACCCAAACCGAUAGUUGACCCAAAAUCGAGGUGUCACAGUUCUCCCUUCCUACAAGAGAUUUUGUCCUGAAACCUGAGUCUAAAGGCUUAACAAGAGAGUGGAAAAAUCUGCCGUUGGGUAACUUCUCCACGAUCUCCGGGUAGGGCUCUCGCAUUCAAACCCCAGUCUCCCAUGUCACAGGCUCAACUCCUGAUUCCCUGCCAGAGUACUCUCAAACAUCCUGGUGUGUGAUUCGGAGUCAGUCUUUCAUGCUCAAACACUAAAAGAUAAUCCCAAAAACUUUGGGACCUAAUACCACAUUAUUCAAUAACAAACACACCAUCAAGUAUGUCAUAAUAAUCUUUAGAGCUAGAAAUUUUGGGUAACAGGUAUCAAGUAAUCCCGAUCCCGUCCCGAACCCGAGCGGGGUUUGGAUACCCAAUACCCAUACGGGUUCGCGGUUUGGCUUAAAACUUGUAAUAGUCUUCUACCCGUAGGUACCCGAUACCCGUUUGGGUAUACCCGAUGGGUACCCAUUAAUAACAAACCUUAUUAUUAUACCCAAAAUAUACCAAACCUAAUAGGCUAAACAUGGAGAGUAAGUUAGUAAUUUACUAGUUUCAUUAGUUUGGUUGAUUGAGAAUUAGAAUGUGACUCAAUUUUAUAAGAUAGUAUUCCGAUAUAUGAGUGAAAUUUAUAGUUCGUAUUUUUUUCUUGUCGUUGAUUUGUUUGUUCGGGUAUUGACGGGUACCUGAACCCGAACCCGCACUACUCGUACGAGUGUAUGGGUACCCAAACCCCAAACGGGUUAGUUGUUUGGCUUGAGUUUCACUGCAUCUUCGGCUACGGGUACCCGCUCAAAACGGGUAUGGGUACCCGAACUCGUCCUAAUUUUGAGCCCUAAUAAUCUGAAGAUUCAUCAUAGCCAAAACACAACCUCUACUAAGGUUCAUUGGAUGUUCGUCAUCAUUUCCAAUCUAUCAUCUUUCAUCUAGGGACUCUAACCCUUGAAUCUAUCAUUUAGACCCCCCUAACUCAUCUAGCUAUCCCAGCCGCCUAUUGUGGACUUAAACAUCAAUGGGACUUGAACCCAAUAAGAUCACUAGGACUCGAACCCACAUAAAUAAUAAUUCGGGGACUCGAACCCAUGAUAAUAAUAAUUAGGGGACUCAAACCCACGAAAAGACAGUGGAUCAUGUAUCCACCUAGCCAUUAAACAUAGGGACUCGAACCCUAGAAUCUAAGUCGACAACUAGUCACGGUAGGGCCUAGCUAAUGAGGUACAUGUUUCUCUUCAUCUUAUCGUUCAUUUCCUUAAUGAUUAUCCGUCUGCUAAGUAGUGCUAUUCUAAGGGCACAUCACUUUGUAACAUAAAUGUAGAAACACAUAAACAACUACGUACCAAUCAUGUAAUUCAAUUAACACAUCACAUAACACAUAUCACGUAACCUAGCGACUGCAUGGUAAAGAAUAUAUGCCCUUUAAAUAAAACCCACCUCAUUGAUGAUCUGAAAUCUCAGAAUAAGAUCCGAGAUGAUUCUUCUUGCUUCCACGAAACCAUAGCUUCUCUCGGCGAGCCCGUUUCCAGAAUCCGACGACUCCCAAUUUCUUUGUAUUGCAAAAUCCGUCUUCGAUUCAACCCACCUCCGUUGUCCGAUGGCUCGGAGGUCCCAACAUCCAUUAUUAGAUCGUCCAUGGCCUCGUACGCUCCUACACGCCCGACUGGGUUCAAAAACACCUCCGCUACUCUUUGACCCCGUUUAUAAACGCCCAACAUCCGCUGAUGUCUCUCACUCGACCAAUAUCCCUCCUCCUGCCUCGAUAUUUGUUCGCACGAUCCCAUUUGUCGAGUCCUGCUCAAUUUCAGUCUUCUUCAUCCUCUGGAACAGUCACAAUGAGGCACUAUCGAAACAGCGAGCCUUGGAUUCAUCUCUCGUAUCACUAGAGGUUCCUCGUAACCCAAUACGAGAGGUUCCUCGUAACCUUGGGGAUUUCUUUAAGGGCUAGUUUUUACGCAAUCGAAGAUGAAGACAAACUUAAAUCCAGUAAAGGGAGAAUCGGUUCGCAAUCAUCGGUACCGUUGGAAAAGGAAAGAAGGUGAUUGCUGAAUUUGCGUCGGAAGGUAGGAGGUUGAUGUCAUCAGUGACUUCAUGAAAUUUUAAGGCUGAAGAGAAGGAAGAAAAUAAACCAUCAUACAUGUGACUCGAACUCUAGAUGUUGGACUGGAUGGGUGGGCCCAUAAACCAUCCGAACUGAUAUAAUCUUGUGGACAUAGUUCAACCCACAAUAUCAAAUACUAGUUUUAGAGCUAAGUAGAUUAAAUUAACAUGAUUCUGAUAACUAAUUAUGGCUAUUCCAAAUCGGCUAGUACUUAAAUACAGUUGCCAAUAACCUAUUAUCAAUUAUAUAUCAACCGUUCAACAUAAAAUAAAAUUCUUUACAUAUUUUGUUAAGGGUAAUUUAGGAAUUUGAUUAAUAGAAAUUUCAUCACUAGAAUCGGGGUGUAACAUGUAUCUUUCGAUCCCUAAUCCGAUUAGGCUGCUCCCUGUGAGCCAGUUAUCUCUCUACUAUAGCUCAUCCACUUGGAUUUCUCGCGUUGAUCCCUCAUUGCCACCCUGAAUACAUACUUAAGGAAUUUGUGAUAUAUUCCGUCCAACCCUAUCGUAUAGGCCAGCCCGUAUGUCACUGAUCUUACCACUCCACCGGCGCUGUAGAGACCGUAAAACUGAGGGUCAAUUCCCCUUUCCUGCCAACGCAUCACUCCUUCUUGAAGGACUACUUCGAAGGAAACCUCGUCCUUACCUUGAAGUUAACCUCACUUGUUUCUUGCCUGCAUACUGCCCUUGCCAACUCUGUGUCAUACUUAGCUGGUAGCAAUGAGGUCCCGUCAUCCAUCUACCUCCUUCCUUACCGUUCAAGAUUUUUAACUAAAUUACCCAAUACGGUGAUGGUAACAUCUAAUGUAGGCGGUCUCCUCCACCGAAGUCCUUGCCCCCAACCCCUGAUGGGCAUGCAUAAGAAAGACGACUAUUAGAAUAAUACUACAAGACCCUGUUCGGGUUCUUAUAUCUCCGGGCCAGGGCCGACUUGACCAAUUCCUUAUAUCACACCCUGGCUGAUAUCGACCCACUAUUUCUAGCCCAUUCAUUCAGCCUAAACUCAUGAACCCAUUCUCGUCACGCUCGUGGUAAACUAGUCACCACGCCCGUGGUGACCUGCCAACCACGUCCGUGACUGCCUGUUGGCCAUGCCCAUGAUGAUCCUUUAUAAGGAAUCCGAUCCCGAAUUCGAACCCUAAUUUUCAUUCACCCCCAUUCCUCUCAAUCCCUCUCACGGGUGUUGUCAACCGUUGCAUUCCUCGUUUAACCUGUAAUCCUCCGGUAAGUUCUCGUCCUUGCUCUCUUUUUUUAUUUUGUUUUGUCCUACAAUGUCUAAUGGUUCCUCUCCUGCAGACCCCUCUACUGCCAACGUUGCCACUGUUCUCUCUUCCCUAUCCUUUUCUCCAACUCUUCAAUCGACAGUUAGCCUCCAUCCUUUCCUCUCUAUUAUGCUACAAUCUGAAACAUAGACCCAGUAAUUCUGUUUGAUAGGACUACUGUUACCAUUGCUAGCCUUAGGAUUUGCUUGCAAUAACUACAACUCCAUCCCGUCCAUUGACUCUAGGUCACGCCCAUGGUGACCUGUUCACCAUGCCUGUGGCUGUCUCUCUCUCUCCAUACUCAUGAAGUUAUAUCCAUCACGCCUGUGGUAAUGUGGUUCCCCAUGCUCGUGAUGAUAUGUACACCACGCCUGUGAUAAGAUGUUAUCCACACCUGUGGCUGAAUGUUCAUCACGCCCGUGGUCGUCCCAUGACAGUUACAUAUUAUGUUUCUUUUGUGCAAAUGUUCGGUGAAGGAUUAUCAUCUCAGAACUUGGUGCAUCCCAAGCCCAAAUGCUCUCAACGUCGUUUGGGCGAAUACCGUACUGUCGUUGCUCACCUCACUGCCCAGGAGGCGAGUCUGGACCAGGACACCACCCAGGCUGCUGCCCAUUGCCUCACCUUCUCCAGCGAGGUCCAUCGCUUACGCAUGGAGCACCUCAAGGGAAAACCUAUUCAGCAAGUCGGGUUGAUCAACUAGGAGGGGAUUCGGGACACUCCCUUCGUCGAUUGGGAGCGACGGGCAGCACAGCUCCUUAGCAACGGACGUGCCGAGCAUGUCUUCGAGGUGGACGAGUGUGACACCUGUAUUUUGGUCAGCGGUUUAAAUUUCGGUUUGAUUAAAAUCUUACUCAUCGAGUGGAUAUCGGAAUCGGAACCGAAUUAAUUUAAUUAAUUAGAAGAGUUGACUCAGUAGUUGACCAAGUAUUAAAAGCUUGUAAGGCUCAUGAUAGUUAUCAGGUUGAUUAAGUUAAUCGAAGGAAGAGUGACUGUCAGUCUGUCACGGGCAUGGUUGUCAGAUAGACCACGACCGUGAUCAACAAUCAGUCAUGAGCGUGAGCUAACUAAAUUUAGUAAUCCACCGAUUCAUAUUUUGGAUGCCAAAAUUUGUAUUUAAUGUGUUCAAAGAUAAUCAUGCGGAGAUUUUUUAGAUUUGGGUUGAUUCCAAUGCAAAGAAUUUGGUUGUUGAUGGAGUGAUGGUUCAAAAACUAUGUAUAGGAUAGGAGUUGUAUAGUCCGGUUUGGGUACAGAUGGAUCAAAUCGCUCAAACAAUCAGAUCUGACGGCUGAGGCUGCAAAAAAAUGCAUCAAUGGUUGGAGAUGAUAUGAUGGGGUUCGGCACUAACUUUCCCAUUCUGUCCCAUAUUUUUUUCCCGCUGGUUUUAUUUAUUAUAGAAAUUAGUGUUAAUAAAAAUCUCACUCACACAGCUUCCUUAGACGUUGCCUUGGAGUAUACGAUGGAUUUGUCAAAGACUCGGCGGUGUUUAGUGAGCCAUCAUAAUGUUUAGGUAGACAUUGAAGGGGGCAUAGAUGCGGUGACGAUCAAAUUAAAUUUGUUAUAUAAAAGUAAAAAUUAUUAUGUACGAUUAUAUAAAUAGUAGUUAUUCUUAACGUAACAUGUUUAAUUAAAGCUGUUAUAUAAAAAUAAAAACCAUUGUGUAAGUUUUACGUAACGACAAUUAUAUCUCAUAUAGCGAAUCUUGCUAAACCCAUCAUAACAGGCCACUAGCUGAAAUUCACUUUGCUGAUCUUAUACAUAGUUUUUAUUUUUAUAAAAUCUCUUCAACAAAAUAUAACUAAUACUGAUCUUCAUAUUGAACAAACUUUUGAAAAGAAUCAGUUUUCUCUUCCAGAAAGAAUGGAAAGAAUUAGUCAUACUAACAAAGUUUUCACUCACGGUAAAAAUUAUGGACGAAAGAAAAACUAUAUAUAGAUGAAGUUUUGAGUAAAAUAGAAGUAAACUGUUAAAAAUUAGCACAAUUUUCAACUAGCGUAAAUCUUGUUCUUCAAACCAACGCAAAGAAGCAUGUUGCUCCUAGUCUGCACCAAUUUCUUCCCCAUCCCAAGGGCAUCCGAUGCAUUUUCCGAUAUACGUUUCUUCUCAUCGUCGACAACAUCUCGUCUGCCCGACUUAAAGCUCAACUUCUUCAUUAACCUCUUCCUCCUCGGCAUUUUUGUCCGCGUCGGUUCGACUUCUUUCUUCUUCAAUUCCGCAUCCUCCUCAUCCUCACCUCUUCCCUUCAUUGAUACCAUGAGGCUCCUUAACAUUUCCCUCUUGCUCCCAGCAUGACAAUUACAGGAAGCCAUCAUUCCUUCCUCAUAGUCAUCAUGGGCCUUUGUGGAGUCCAUUUUAACCAGCCUGGUGUGUCUCGCGUACAGCACCCCUUUGGGCUGCGGAGACGACUUCAUCGGGCUAGGACUUGGUAUUGGGCUUUCAGAUCUUACUCUCGGCAUGCUGCGAACCCAGUUCAGCGUGGGCUUGGGCUUGGGCUUUACUUCAUCAGACCCAGGAGAAUCCGACAUCACCCGUCUAUGAUUCACGCCGCCUCUGUUUUUUCCGGCGGUCUCUCCUCCUUCCUUGACGUUUUUAAGGGCGGCCGCGAAAGGGUCAAAAUCGUCAUUCCAAAGGCUCCGACGGUGGACGUGUAAUCCGGAUCUCCUCCCCGUAGGCGUAGAUGACCUUUUCCCUGUCUCUCCUGCUCCUCCGAAGGACUGGCGAGCAGGUGGAGGCUUCAAUUGGACCGUUCGCUGUUCACGAUGCAGCAUGAUGAGGUGCUGGGUGUCGGAGCAGGUUUCGAAAUCGGAAUGGACGUCGAGGUAGCUGCAUUCGUCGUAGAAACGAGCGCUGACGGUGGAGGAUUCGAAAUCGUCGACUGUGAAAUUGUAAUUGGGGGAGGAGGUGGAUUUCGUCGACGGCGGGUCGAAGGAACGGAAACUAUCUGCGAACCUUGAGGAGGAGCUGGACGUGGCGGCGGUCAUGUAGGAGGAAUUAUCGUCGGCGGGGAAAUCCAUGGACAUAGCUUUCUUGGGAGAUAACAUUUCUGGUAAUCUAAAUGGGAAGACGAUGGGAAAUGGAGUUUACGGUAGCUCUGUCUAUAUAUGUAAGCAGAGUAGAUAGGAGGCAAACAAACGAGUGUUCAGAGUUAUUUGUGACUUGUGAACUGGGUAAUGAUCUUUCUUUUGGGAGUCAAACAAUGCGAGAUGGCGGGCGAAUUGGUAGACCCAGGUCCGGGGCAUAGUAAAAAAUGGUUGAUAGCAGCCAAUGGAAUUUUAAAUCGUUAGAUCAUUCAUAUAAGUUCAUCUAAUGGUCUAGAUUAUCGGAUUAAACGAAUAAUUUUAUAAAUUAUUUUCUUUAUAAAAUAGUAAAUAGUUUGGACACCUUUACAUGUUCUUUCUUUUUGUUUUGUACUGUAUAUAUUUAUGUACACACUCUUAUAAUUAUCUACAUUGAAUUUUAGAAUCCGUUGACAGACCUAGCUGAUAAAAGGCUAACCCAACCCCGUUACCUACUAACAAAAAAGUUAACAUGUAACAUGCCAAACCCAUAACUCGAUUAACUUUUAAUCUAACUAAUGAUGAGUAACCUGAUUGAAGAACCGGUGACCGAUCCAAUCUGAAUUACUCGGAGUCGUGACCUGCCCAACCCACAUGUUUGACCGUUGCAGAGUGGCCGACAACGACAAAUGAUGGCUGGUUGGAGAGAGUUGGAAAUAUUUUUCACUUGUACAAUUGUUAGAUUUUAGUGAUUAGAUCUGACGAUUGAGUUCCUUGCUGCCAAUGCUAUUAUGCCAAUUCGAAUAGGUAUGGAAGAAGAAAAUAACAGUAUUCUAAUUGUUAAUUGGUGUUAUGUUAUGUAUAUAAAUUAUAGAUAAUGCUGAUGUAUUACGUAGGUUGUUAUGCAAAUUUUAUAAUGAGUUGUUCUGUAAUGUGUCUUUAUUCAGCUAAGGUUGGGAAUACAGAUGUACAUAGAUUAUAGAGAUAUGUAGACGUAAUUGAGGGGUCAUGACUUGGCUCAAUACGGGUCAUUGCUAAAUUGUUAUUAAUAGCUAAGUGGGGGGUGUUUCUGGAGAUGAAAUCUAAAGUGAUAAAAGUGACUGUUACUUAGAUUCCAAGUUAUACGUCAAAUGCCAAGAGCAAAAAGCUACCACGUUGUAUCUUUCUUUUCUUUUUUGUUUUGUUUUGUUUUGUUUUCGUGUGCACUCUUUCUUUGUGUUUUUUCUUGUACCGUAUCCAAAUCCAAUGUGUUCCAUGUGAAAUGUGUUUAUUCAUGUCAUUGUCUUGAACCGACGCUAGCUACAACACUGCAAUAUAAAAUACGUUCGAUGAAUGGGACAUGGAGGGUGCACUACGAGUAUCCAGGAUCCAGGUUUCACCCAGGCGGUAAAGCCCAAAAUAUCCGGCCCAGAGGCCUAGAGAACUCACUCGGCCCGGCAAUCACAACCCUCAAAGUAAGGGCUGGAAGUCUUCCGGUUAGUAGUUAACCGAACCGAACACUGAUUAACAAUACCACAAUUUUAGUCAAAUUACUAACCAGUAACCACACCGCAUUAUAUGCAGUUAACCAUUAACCGAAUCAGGAUUAUGUAUUGCGGUUAAUGGUUAACCAUAUAACCAGAGUAGUAAAUCGACGAUUUAGAUCUUAAAAACUUACGAUUUUACAAUUUUAGUAGUGGCUAACGAUUCGGAUUCCACUUAAAAUCAAUGAUUAGUGCAAUCAGAUAAAAUCCCAAUCUAAACCUUAGAAUCUCGUGAAAUCAACGAUUUUCAUGUAUUUUACGAUUCUACUUUCUAAGAAAAAUUGUCCAUUAGUCAUUUACUCUCACUCGGUUUGGUUUAGAAUAAAAAAUUUAGGCAUAAUUAGUAAUUUAUUUAUUUUAUUGAUAUAUUUUGAGUAUUAUAAUAAUAAGUAAAAAUUAAAAUAAUUAAAAUAGUUUAAAAUAAUGCAUUUUUUUCUUUAAAUUUGUUAUUAUAGAACUCAUGAAAUCUUACGAUUUUACGCUUCGAUUCUACAAUUAUGAUUUCAGGUCAUUUUUGGAUCUCAUACUGACUCGACGAUUUUACUACCUUGCAUAUAACCAAAUUAUAAACAACUGAACCGCGAUUAUGCGGUGUAGAGUUAGCUGUUAAGUACAUAACCAAUUUUUUUUACUAAAAUCUGCUGAUAUAUUAUUAAUUAAUAGAGUGAAUUACAUUAUUAUGCUCAAGUUGAUCUAGCAAGAAAACUAGAGGAAGAUCCAUCAACACAAAAGGACGAUUCCAAAAAGCAUUACAAUGAGCCAUGAUAUGAGCAGCGUUAUUGCUUCUCGUCGGCACCUAUCGUUCAACCCUUCCAAUAAACGAUGUAUGUUUCGGUAAAUGACCCCUAGUUUUGUCUCAUCCUCAUUCGCCUGAUGUAUCGCCUUAGUGACUAAACUGUUGUCGCUUUCCAACUCAAUCUUAGCAAAACCGUGUCGCACUACUAACUGAAUAUUAAACUCCACAGCUACAGCUUCUACAUGAACUGGUUUCCAUAACCCCUGCAAUUUCAGAAUCACAGCCAUGAUGAAUUUACCGCCGGCAUUAUGUAUUACCACUCCAGCACCCAUCCCUUCCACUCCCAUAAUACUUGCAUCGGAACUAAUCUUAACAUAUACCUGUCUUUGGCGCCGCCAAGGAAUUAGGGAGGAUUUUGUAGCCUCCUUCUCGACCGGCUUGACCAUGAUUCUAUAAUUUUUCCAGAAAUACUUCGGCUCUCGCCAAGAUCUCAGUUUCCAGGAGUCGACGGCCAUUACAAACACAAGCAUUACACGCCUUUCACAAGAACCAAAAGAGAGUGCUCCAUCGUUCCAGAACAUCGUUUGUUUGCCUUAUUCUAAUUUCCUCAAACCAUUCCCCUCGCUGUCAGAGUUACAAUAGGUGAAACAGUUUGAUAGUGCCGACUGCCUCCAAAGUCGACUAGUCCAUGAGCAUUGGCCAAAAAAUGAGCCUGUGUUUCCACGAGACCAUAAAAAUCAUAGCUAUCACUAUAUCUUUGGCUUCAUAGGAAGAAUAUUCCUCACAAACUUCCAUAAGAACUACUUAACCUUCGGAUGAAUUUGCAACCCCCACAAACACUUUCAUGUUUCUGGUGAUCUACAUGGAGUAAUACUCUUGAGAAAUCUUAUAACUCUUGAACAAAAAGUGAUACCCGUCCCUAGUUGUGUACUGACCAUUUCUGCUACCACACCAAAUCAAGCGGUCCAGUUCCCCCAUACCUCUUAAUGGAAUUUGUAGGAUAACAUGCACAAAAGCUAGACUAAAGCAGCGUUCAAGAAGUGCAUGACUCCACUAAUCGAUAUCUGGAUCGACUAACUCCCUUACUGUUGCAUCUACAGGGAGCUCCUUUGGAGGGGUGGGAAUAAAAUCCUCCUCAAAGUUAGGCAACCACCGACCUCCCCAAAUUCGGAUGGACACCCAUUCCGUACACGCCAUCGGAGUCCAUUCCACAAAAGUUCCUGAGCAUCAAACUCCUCCAAAAAAAACUUGGUCUGUAACCCACAUCUGCAUCCAGAAUAAAAGAAUUCUUAUGGUACUUAGCUUUAAUCAUCCUAGCAAUAAGGGAAUUAUGGCAUUGUGGAAGACUCCAGAGUUGUCUUGCAAGUAGCAUUGAAAUCACGGAGGUCUCGAAAACCAAUCCCACCUUCAAUCUUAGAGCAAAUAAGUUCCUCCUUUUUCACCCAAUGAGUUCUUCUCUCAGUAUUUCCCUGACCCGCCAGAAGUUAGAGAUAAGACUAUAAAUGUCAUCAAUAAUACCAUCCGGUAUUUUGAACAAUGUCAUAGCAUAAGAUAAUUGGGCUUGAACAACCGACUUAAUAAGCACUUCUCAUAUUGCAAUAGACAUAACCUUCUCUUUUCGUCCCUUUAACUUUCACCGCACACGAUCUCUAAGAUACCAGAAAAGUUUUUUUUUAUCUGUCAACUUCGGUGACCAAACCAAGAUACAUAUCAUGUGUAUCCACUAUAUGCAUACACAUCACCGAGCUGAUAAUAAACUUGUUCUGAACACUGAAAUUCCUGCUAAAAGAAAUUUCAGAUUUCUGGAAACUGACAAGAGGACCCAAUUCUCAUUUGUAGGCCUUAAGAAUCUCCUUAACAACCCGACAUUCCUGCACAUUAGCUCGAGCGAACAGAAUACUGUCAUAUGCAAAGAAUAAAUGUGAUACUGAAGGAGCCCCACGAGCAAGCUCCAGCCCUUGAAUACUCUUAUGGUUUGUGGCUUUCCCAAACGCCACUGAUAGGCCCUCUGCGCACAGAAGAAAAAAGUUAAGGAGACAAUGGGUCACCUUGUUUGGGGCCACGUCCCGGCACAAAUGAUCAAAGUGGUGGCCAUCAACCAGCAACGAGAAAGAGACAUAUCUAACAAUCAUCAUGAUGCGAUGGAUCCACCGCCCAUGAAAACCCAAUCGUCCCAUUACCCUUUCAAGAAAUAUCCACUCAACCAUGUCAUAGACUUUUGCCAUAUCCACCUUAGCUUCAAAAAAAGCCUGUCUUAGCCUUUGUAGCCUUCUUCAUAGUAUGAACAUUUCAAAUGCUGUCAUAACAUAAUCGGCAAUAAAUUUGCCAGGAACAAAGCCACUCAGAGCUAGGGAAAUAAUCUUAUCCAUAAUUGUUUUCAACCUAUUGGCCAAGACCUUCACAACAAGUUUACACAAUACAUUGCACAAACUAUUCGCCAUUGACGAAACUCUUUUGGAGUUUCAAGAGAUUUAACUUUAGGGAUAAAACAAAUGUGAGUAUGAAUAAGAUCCACUAACAACACUCCUCGCUCUAGAAUAUUAAGAACAACAACAACAACCUCAUCUCCAAUAAUAUGCCUGAAUUUUCUGAAGAACAAAACAGACAUACUAUCUGCACCAGGUGAUUUGUGAGAACCCAUUUUUUAAGAGCCACACAAGUUUCCUCUCUAACAAACGAUUUGCACAAGACUUCAUUUUCAACCUCUGAGACGCAAGCUUUUACCAAAUUGAGAAUAGGUUUAUCCUCUUGAAACCCAUCCGACGAGAAAAGAUUACAAAAAUAAGAGGAAAGGCACUAUGAAACCUGGUCCUGACCAACAAACCAUCGACUAGGAUCAUCCCUCAAACAUUUGAUGGUAUUUUACGAAGUUGUAGCCUUUUGAUGAAACAAAUUCAUGUUCAUAUCACUGUCUUUCAGCUAAUCAACUCUUGCCCUCUGUUUCCAGUAAGAAUCUUCAUUAGCUUCAAGAAAAAAAAAAUUCUAAAUCAAGACGCUGUCUUUGAUCCAAUGCAAUAGCCGAUUCCCGACCUUUCAAUCACAUCCAGGGCUUUAGUAAUUUUAUGCCGCUGCUUUCCAAAAUUUGGGAAAGCCCUUGUACUCCACAUAUCCAUCCUACUUCGACACAAUUCAUACCGUUCCUCAAUAUUCCUUUGCAUGGUUUCAUCCCAAACUUCUUGGAUAAGUUUACUACAAUCAACAUGUGUAGCCCAAAUAGGAUCAAACCUGAUAUUAAUACCCUCAUCACCCGUCGUAUUACACAGGAUUGGACGAUGAUCCGACGUGUGCCUAUCUAAAUGAUAACCAAAUUAUUAAAAAAUAAACUCAAUUAUAAGUAGAUAGAAAAUUUUCAAAGUUUACGAACAUAAUAAGCAUAGCUAAAGGUUUAAGACUAGCUAUAUGACUUAAUUAUGCAACUUGAAUUCUAAAUUUCAUAAGUCAUAUUAGAGUUUAAAUCAUUAACUCGUGAAUUGGUACAUUCGAUUGAUCAUUAAGAUUUUAUAUGUGAAUGAAGGAAAUAUAAUUUAUAAACAUUGAGCGUAAUUUAAGCCCUUUUAAAAUAAUCCUUAUAGAUUAAAUAUUUUAUAUUAUUUAAGAGUUAGCUAAUCUUAAACUGUAUUAAAGUUGUGUGAGAGAACAUUGUUUCCACAUCAACUUUUGUUCAAAUUUGGUAAAUCUACAUUAGCAGGAGUGUUAUUAUAAAAUACUAAACCAUAAAGUAAAAUAAUAGUAACAGGAAAAUAACUAUUCAAACACCACUAAAUAUUACACAAAUCAUUUCUAAGGUUUACCUAUCCCACUCUCUUUAUUUGCAACACUUCUUUUAAAAAAUGAAAUAACUUCUUCAAUUUUAUUUUAAUAUGUUUUGGAUUUCUUGCAUUAUUUGGAUCUCUCUUAUUAUGAUGUGUGUGACGAUUGUAGAACCCGACUCUAGUAGACCCCAGUUGAAUCAUUGGUUCCACCCACGCAACCUACUCGAAUUCUAAGUUAGACCAACCUCAACCCAUAACUACUAAAAAAUGCAUAUAAACAAGCGAUUAAAGACUGAACUUGAAACCUUUAUUAAACCUUGGAAUUCUGACAAGACAUGGAUCCUAGAUGCUUAAAUACAAUUCAACAGAAAAAAAAGAAUAGACACAACUCCAAUUCUUCAAACACAUCAAAACUUAUAUCUACUGAUAUAAAAACCGACCAACUCUCUCCCCACCUUCAGCUCUAGUACCUAUAACUGUACACAUAUAGAUACAACAAAAAGACAAACAUCCACUGGGGUUAGUGCUAAUCACUGAGUGGUCAAAACCUUACCAAAGGCAGAGCUACAUCCGAUCAAGAGAAAGGGAACAUCAAAGAAGAUAAUACAUCAAUUCCCCAGUUCCACCCUAAUAAUACAACCCUACUAGUCAAGUAGUAGGAUACCUAGCAUCAACCACCCCUAUCUGUGUGGAUACCCUCAUAGUGGAUCAGACCAGGAAACCACCCUAACCGUAUGACAAACAUCUAAAUCAUACUCGUUUUUAUGACUCGGCUUGUGUCUUAGCCCUAGGGACCAACUGUAUAGUACAAUCGUAUUUUAUAAUUUUCAAAUUACUAUAUGAUGUAAAUUAAUUAAUUUAAUUAUAAGUAUAUACAUAUGUUUUCCAUUUCCUUAUAUAGAUAUCGUGGUAGAGAUUUUCAACUUGAAAUGACAUUUUCAUAACUCCUUCCGUGGGAAAUUUCCUUUUUCCAUUUUCUCUUGAUAAAGUCUUCCAAAGUCUACAUUAAAAUAUGAAAUAAAAAUAUNNNNNNNNNNNNNNNNNNNNNNNNNNNNNNNNNNNNNNNNNNNNNNNNNNNNNNNNNNNNNNNNNNAUUAAAAUAUGAAAUAAAAAUAUGAGACACUAAUCAAAUCUGAAAACUCGGUUCAGUUAAAUCAAGCAAAUCGUACACAGUAUUGUAUAGAACAUAGUACAAAAGUUAAUCAAAAUACUAUACGCACGGAAACAAAAUAAUCAACAACAUGAUUAUAAUCAGGGAUGAACAUUUAUAUGUCCAAUUUACAUGUAAAACAUAUAAUGUAUUAACGAGAUAAAUAUAUCUUUUUGUUUUCUUCUUCCCCGAUGAUAACAUGAUUGUCAUCUAAGGUCCUUAACUUAUCGCAAAAGGUCUAGUUAAAACUCAAAACACACACAAAAAUCAGAAACCAACAUCACCAAAUAAAAAAAAAAAAAAAAAAAAUCUAUGAAUACUGAACGAAACCCGAGAAUUGAUCUAUCAGAAAUGUAAUCAAAUAUUUUACCUUCAAUUGCUCGGUGAUGGUUGCAUCACACUGAUCUAUUAACAGUUGGUUACGAGAGUGUUGUUAUUCAACCAGCAGUUGUUGAUUCAAAUAGUAUAGUUCUUACGGUUAGAUCAAUGAAUCCAUCAUACGAUUGACCUGUCACAAUCUCACUUCUUGUUAGCACUUGAUUAUUAUCCAUGGUGGAAUUGAAAAUUGGUAUGGGUUUCAAUGUGUACAUAUGAAACCUAUUUAUAACGCAAAGUGUGAGUAAAAACAUAACAAUUGCGUUGCUGAACAGAUCGUAAAGAUUAUUGUUUGCUGUAUAUAUAAUAUUUUAAAUAAUCUUAUAAAAUAUUACCAAACUAUCAUCAAAUGAUAAUGGGCCAUAAAUCAAAAAGUUCAUAAAGGUCCAUAAAAUUAGUAAUCAACCAUGCAUCACAAGCCCACCAAGACCAAAACUCAGAGCUCAGUACAUGGUCCAGGGGACAAAUUCCUCCCUUUGAUCCAGUCAACAGUGGGAAUUAGGAAAAGCACCCCCAACAACCCAUAUGUAGUUCAUACAUGAUGCUACUAUUCAUUGACAAAUUCGCCUCGACUAUUUUCCAUUAAAAAAUAACACAAAUGAUUUAUUUUCUAUCUUUCCUAUGGUUUUGAAUCGAUGAAUGAAUUAAGGUUUGAGUACUUGGUAUCAUUAUAUGUUAUGUUUCGUCGUUAAGCAUAAUUAGCUACAAGGGAUGAAGUCUGAUUAGAUUCACUGUUACGCGGCGGCGGUGGUUAUUAAGGAAUGGUAGUGAAGUAGAUGUGGCGGUUGCGGUAGUCGCAAAGAUGGUGAUUGGAUUUGCCCUAAUUCUAGAGGAUUUUUGUUCUUGAAUGGUAGUAAAGGAUUGUUAUUCUCGUGUAAUCUCAAUUGAAUAUUAGUUUGCGGGGUAUUCUCAUCCCACCAGUUGGAUAUUGUUUUUUACUCUUGGAAAUCGUAGUUUGCCUAUUCUGAUAUUCGAGGGAUGGAAAUAUAAGUGACUUGUAAUCCUAGUUUGCCCAAUCCUUCUUCAGCCAGGUCCAUGUUCAUCGCUCCUCCUACAGUGGCGAAUCAACUAAUGAGACUCGUAAGUCGAACAUGGAGGCGAGGGUUCAAGAACAGUAGGACAUAGGAUGAGAUGCUUUAUAUCUACAUGAACUGUAGCCGAUUGUUAAUGGAUAAUCAGAGGACAAGUGAGAUGGAUCAAUAUCGCUUUAUUAUAACUUUUUUUACUGCAUGAAUGAUCAAUUUAUCAGUAUUUCGACCAAUAGAAUUUGUGAUUAAUUGAUUAUGUGGAUUGAUUUCUAUAGGAUUCAACCGAAUAUUUGACAAAACAAACUGGGUGAUCAAUUGCAGUAUAAUACAUAAAGAUCAAGACUACAUAUACAUGUAUGGUAAUAUGAGGAGUAAAUAGAAAUUAAUUACCUAAAAAUCCCCAUAGGAUGCCUAAUCACUAUCUUGUUGUAUGCCACAUCAGGGAUGUACCGGUGCAUCUGAGUCACUAGAAAAUUCACAAAAUUAAAUUGGAAUCCAGGUUGUUUUUUUGUUUAGAUAGACUCUUGCAGAGACAAAAAGAUAACAAACACACACAAAUUUACAAUCAAUCCGAGAACUGAGGAUUACCAACAACACUCCUGGGCAAUAUUUAAGCCAUACGAGGCAUACAAUGGACGACUCUUUUACCUGACCGUUGAAUUAUCUGGAGACGGAUCUCUAAUAGCUAGGCUUCUGAUUGCCAAGCUUGAGUGUCUGGCGUUGUUGCGGGUCGUCACCAUCUUUGUGUCUCCUUUGAUACUUACCCUUUUAGCGACAAAUUAUAACAUAGGGAAGUCUGUUAUCUAACAGGCAAACACAAGUCUCUGCGGUUCCAAAAAUCCAUUGUAUAGUGGUCGUUGAGGAUGAAGCCACAAUUCCCCCUCUUCUUAGUCAUCCCCAUAGCCGAGAAUAAUUGCCAAAAACUCACAAAACGAAGAACAGGAUUAGGGUAAAUGUCUAGGCAACCACCAUCUAAUACAAAAAUCCAGACUGAAAAAGCAAGGAAACAAAGAAACGUAAACAAACAAACAAGAGGGAAACAAACAAAACAAACAGACAUGCACAUAUAAAAAAGGGUGAAAAUAUAAUGAAUGAAAUAGAGGAGGAGACUAGUGAACUUCCCUAAAAUGAAUGUGUCGGCCGAGAAAUAACAACAACGCGAAAUCCCGGACUGCAAUGAACCACCAAAAUUUGGUGGAGAUACUCCAAGAAGCGACAUCCACUAGAAUGUGAUCGAGCAAGAUUUUGACGACAAUCAAUACAAAUGGCGCGGUAAUGAGAUUCAGCGAGAACGAAUCAAGACUUGACCAGAACCGUGGUCGACGAUGUAGGAACAGUUGCCCAUGGAAGUUCAGAGCAGUGUACGUAAUAACCUCCAUGAGAGGCCAUAUCAUAGUGGUACCUUGAUCUGUGUUGAUUGUUUCUCCCAGUGAUCUGGAACGAAAACUGGACGAGUUUGAUCUUGAGGCCUGGAAGGAGACGAGAGAAUCAGCGGGGACGACGGGUGGAUCUGGCCGAAAAAGUUGUCGUUCGUUGUUCAAGAAUAACUGCCUCAGAGAGAAAGAUCCUUUUGGGAGUUGCUUGCUAUGUAUUACCCCGUCUGGAAUCUAGGUUGCUUGAAUAGGAAAAUUGAGUGGGAGAUUUGAGUUCCAAAUCUAUAAUCUAGAGAAUUGGUUUGAAAUAGAAUAUUUGGAUUGUGGAAAUGAGAGAUUCUGAGGGAAUCGAAAUAUCUAAUGGUGGACCUAAGUGAUUUCGGUACCAAAAUGAACUCUCACUCAACCAUGAGAGAUUUUGAGUGAUUUCAUAUGACAUUAUUAAUAUACCCUCGUCUCAUUUUAAAACUACAAUAAAGGAAAUGGAAAGGCUCACAGAUGAAAAAAAAUGAAGAAGCUGGGAUUUCAACUGUUGGAAGAAGAUUUGGAAGUUGAAUAUUUUAGGAAAACUCAAAGUGUUCCUUUGAAAGGGAGGCUAUAAUAUCCUUCAAGUUGGUGUUAAGCUGAGUAAGAAAGUUAAGAAUAUAAGUGAUGAAUGCCCAAAUUAUAAAAUGAAAGAGACACUUAAGCAUUGUUUGGUAGAUUGUAUAGUAGGGUGGCUAAAAUUUGGAAUAAGACCCCUAUAGCACACCUUUUCUCUCAUGUUAACAAUUUAACUUGCAAAGUUUGGCGGCAUAAGGUACCGAAGGAAGCAACAAAUGAGGAGCUUGAGAUUUUUUGUGCUUUUGUGUGGUAUUUUUGGAAAGAAAGAAAUAAUUUUUGUUUAAUAAUAAAAUUUUACAGGAAUCGGAAGUCUUCUCAAAGGCUGAAAAAUUCAUUAAUCAGUUAUGUGAAGUUCAAUGAGAGAUCAAAAGCAAAAUUAGAAGGUAAGAAGAAGAGAUUGCAAAUGGGAGAAACCAUCAAUGGGGAAUGGGACUUAGCUAUAUUAUGAGAGAUUGAAAUGAGAGGGUGGUUCUUGCGACAAACAAGAGUGAUGUUGUUAAAUGGGUGCCCAACAUUGCAGAAGCGAGGGAGAUGUUGUUUGGACUGCAAAAAGCAGUCAAGUACAGAUUCGAGCCACUAAUCGUUGAGUUUGAUUGCAAGAAGCUGAUCGAUUUACUUUGGAAGAAUAAAGAAUGUCGGAUGGAAAUUGGUAAUCUUUGUAGAGAUAACACGGCAUUGGGGGAGAUGAUUGAGAUUAGAGAAUGGAACUUUAUUUAUAGAGAAGCCAAUAAGGCUGCACAUAUCCUUGCUCAUCUCAAUUCCUCUAACUUUGGUGAGUUUUUAUGGAAUGAUUGUACCCCUGUACAAUUGUAUAUGUUGUAGCCCAUGAGUCUCAUUUGAUUGAUACAUAAUGAAAACCCAACAUUUUUUGUGAAUAAUUAAUUUUAUUUCAUAAAAAACACUUUAUUCCCAUGCAUGAUCUAUCCACUAUUCAGAAUUCUCUAAGAUAUUUGGAAAAUUCAACUAUAACUACUAAUGAAAGCUAUUACAAAAUCAAGAACUCGGAGUUUGCAUAUGUAGGCUACUAUGAAUCCUCUCCUCCUCAAUUUUGGAAUCAAUUAUGGCAAUUGGGUUUUCUGUAAUAGUGCAAAUCAUAUCAGCAACUUCCACUCGCUCUCCUCCAAAAACUCUUCUACACCUUUCUUUCAAAAUAUAUGAAACAAUCAAACACCACAUUAGCUUCUUAGCUUUAUGAAUCUUCGAUUUACUCCUCCAAAUCUGGCAAGCUUUUCUAACAUUUUCCUCCCAUUUCCCCCAUCUCGCAAUCUUCGGGAGAAGGGUAGCUAUUAUAGUAUUCAAAUAGUUGCAACUGAAAAACAAAUGCUCUCUAGCAUCAACACCUAGAUCACCAAGCACACAAGAAAUAUCAAUUGAGAUCAUCUAGCUAGCAAGUGUUUGCUUCACUGCAAUUCUAUCCUACAUAAUCAACCAGCACAUCAUACUCGAACUUGGAAUUUGUCAACCUUUCCAUAACAAAGGUGCCCAAUCAACAACUUCUUGGCAUGCUCUAAUUCCUUCCCGGACAUGAUGAAGAUUAUAACGGGACAUAAUUGCACCAUCCCAUAAGACUUCAUUAGAUGAACUAACAGAAAUAUGCAAAUGUACCUUGCUUCUCACUUUCAGAAUUCGUCUUCAUAUCCAUGAGCCCGUAGCCACCUCCAUUUUCCAAAGAUCCUUUUGCUUGAUUAUGCAUUAAUAAAUCCACGGUACCUACAAUGACCCUCCCCUUACAAGCAAAGCCUGGAGAUGCCUAAUGGUAUUUGCAGCAUUUCAUGAAUACAUGUCUUUCAAACCAAGUCCACAUUCUUCUUUAGGAAAUGUUAGAGUAUUCCAAACAAUUGUGCAACGCCCACCCUCAAGUUUCCCCAUAAGAACCUAUUACAUGGAUUCUUAAUGUCCUUUAACAAAACUUUUGAGAGGAGAAAAACUGACAUCCAAUACUGAAGGAUGCCUCCAAUUACAGAUGAAAUCAGCUAGAUCUUCCUAGCAUAUGAUAAACUCUUAGCCUUCCAAUAUGUAAUUCGAGAAGUGAUUCUAUCAAUAAGUACUCUGUAAUCAGCUGCUUUUAGUUUACCUGACGUGAGAACAAUUCUAAGGUAUCUAAAAGGGAGGGCACUCACUCUAAAACCAGAUCUUUCAAUCAUUUCCAAAACAUCAGAAUUAUAUGAGCCUGCAAGGUAUAUAUUACUUUCUUUGGGUUAAACUUCAAUCCUAAGAUAGCUUGAAACUUAGCUAGCACAUCAACAACACCCUUAAUCUCAUCCACUGUAGCUUUUGUAAAAACUAUCAAAUCAUCCGCGAACCCAAUGUGUGUAAUCUUGCUACCUGCACAUUGGGGAUACAUAGCAAAUUCUCCUCUCUUUACAGCUUGCUUAAAGAGGCAUGAUAGCACUUGCAUACUGAUAACAAAUAGAUAAGGCAAAAUGGGAUCACUCUACCUCAAUCUUUUUUUAGCACAAAAAUAUUCACAUAAACUUCCAUUCAAGUUAACUGAGAGCUUUGUUAUUUCUAAGCAUUCUUUGAUCCAUCUUAUAAAAAUCUCAGGGAACUUCAUCACACUUAGCACAUCAAACAGAAACUCCCAUUCAUUGGAGUCAAAAGCUUUCAUCAAGUCAAUUUUGAGAGCACACCAUGGAGAGAUAUGGUUCUUACCAUAAGUACGAAUCAAUUCAUGAGCCAAGAGUAUGUUUUCACCUAUACUUCUUCCUUUUAUGAAUGCCGUUUGAGAAGGAUUAAUGAGUUCUGGUAAAAUACUUUGGAGCCUGUUUUAUAACAACUUCGAAAUAGCUUUGUAAACAACAUUACAACAUGAUAUAGGCAUGUAAUAGUUUGCUUCAGUAGCAUUAAUCUUCUUCGGAGUUAGUGCUAUACUUACUGAAUUAACAAAAUUGGAAGCUUCCCCCCUUCAAAGAAAUAUAUAACUGUAUCUCUUGCAUCUUCUCCCACUAUUUUCUAGCAAAUCUUAUAGAAUCCAACAUUAUAUCCAUCAGGACCUUGAGCUUUAUCCCCAUCCAUAUCAUAAAAAGCCUGCUUAACUUUCUUCCUACUAAUUGGUUCAGUGAGUUUAUCACCUCGAGUAUCAGUCAACUUCCUCUUAAUAAUACUUUGAAAGUCAACUUUCAGAACUUCAGUACUUGUUCCCACCAGCUUCAUAUAGCAAGAGAUGAACGUUUUUGCAAUGUUGUCAUAGUCAUCCACCAUUUCCCCAAUUUCACUUCUAAUCUAUCUUAUGGUGUUCUUUGCUUGCCUUAUGCGAAUAAAAUCAUAAAAAUACUUUUUGCAUCCAUCUCUUUCACAAAUCAAAUUAACACACGAUUUUUGUCUCAUGAAACUAGCUUCAACAUUAUUCAGAGCUUCAAGAUUAAGCAGACUUUUAUUAACCUCUGCAACAUUCUGAUUUGUAGGACUUGAAUAAGCCUUAUACAUAUUCUUCCCCAGAUCAUCUACAUCAUUAGUGACUCUCUUAUGUAUUCUGAGUAAUGCUCACGAUUCAACUUUUUGAGUUCAUAUUUCAGAUUUCUCAGCUUACCAUAUAAUUUAUGGAAGGGGCGAUGAGUACUCUUUUGGCGCUAAGUUUCCUUUAAAAUUUCAUCAAACCUUUUGUUCUUCAUCCAACAACUAAAGAACUUAAAAGUUUUCAGCUUUGAAUUACUAUAACAGUCUGAAUCUACCAUGAUAGUACAAUGAUAUGAAGUUUGACAACGGAUAAUUGUUGCUUUAAUUCCUGAAUUUGUACCCUGCCAAUUAUUGUUUAUAAAGACACGAUCAAGUCUUCUUACAAUCAACUCUUCCUCCCUAUUAGUAAUCUAAGUAAACUUUGGACCUUGAACUAGAUGCUCCAAAAGUUCACAAUUCUUCAUAAAGUUUUAAAAAUCUCCCAUUGAAGUCCAGCUUGAAGGCAAAUUUGAUGUCACUUAAAGCUUAAGUAUAGCAUUAAAAUCUCAUGCAACUAUCUAUGGCACACCCUGCUGCUUUAAUCUGCCAAUAUCAUCAUACAGAACCCUCUGAUCUCCUCCAGACGUUGAAGCAUAAACAAAGGUGCAAUAGAUAGGGGAAGGUAGCUCAAUCAAAACAUGAAUACACUAACUAGCUGGAUGCUCCAAAAGUUCACAAUCCGCCAUAAUGUUUUGAAACUCCAUUGAUGUUCCGCUUGAAGGCAAGUUUGAUGCCUCUGAAAGACUAAGUAUAGCAUUAAAAUCUCCUCCAACUAUCCAUGGCACACCCUGCUGAUUUAGUAUGCCAAUAUCAUCAUACAGAACCCUCUGAUCUCCUCUAUACAUUGAAGCAUAAACAAAGGUGCAGUAGAUAGGGGAAGGUAGCUCAAUCAACACAUAAAUACACUGACUAGAUUUCCAUAUCACUCUAAGAGGAAUAUCUUUCUUCCCAACCAACCAAAUCUUCACAAGAUCUCUAUCAAAACACCGCUCAGAACUCCAACUCUUGAAAUGAGUAUCAAUAAAACCACCCACAUGCAUCCACUUUAUUCUUGGCUCAAGAACACCACAAACAUCUAUAUUAUACUUCUGUAAGUAGGACUGUAAUUCUAUAUACCUACUAUUUUUAUUAAAACCUCUAACAUUCCAUACCCAAUACUUCAUUUACGAGAGUCCCCCCCCCCCCCAGUCUGAAUCUACCAUGAUAGUACAAUGAUAUGAAGUUUGACAACGGAUAAUUGUUGCUUUAAUUCCUGAAUUUGUACCCUGCCAAUUAUUGUUUAUAAAGACACGAUCAAGUCUUCUUACAAUCAACUCUUCCUCCCUAUUAGUAAUCUAAGUAAACUUUGGACCUUGAACUAGAUGCUCCAAAAGUUCACAAUUCUUCAUAAAGUUUUAAAAAUCUCCCAUUGAAGUCCAGCUUGAAGGCAAAUUUGAUGUCACUUAAAGCUUAAGUAUAGCAUUAAAAUCUCAUGCAACUAUCUAUGGCACACCCUGCUGCUUUAAUCUGCCAAUAUCAUCAUACAGAACCCUCUGAUCUCCUCCAGACGUUGAAGCAUAAACAAAGGUGCAAUAGAUAGGGGAAGGUAGCUCAAUCAAAACAUGAAUACACUAACUAGAUUUCCAUAUCACUCUGAAAGGAAUAUAUUUCUUCCACACCUACCAAAUUUUUGCAAGAUCUCCAUCAAAACACUGCUCAGAACUCCAACUCUUGAAACGAGUAUCAAUAAAACCAUCCAUAUGCAUCCACUUUAUUUUUUGCUCAAGAACAGCACAAACAUCUAUAUUGUGCUUUUGUAAAUAUGACGGUAACCCUAUAUACCUACUAUUUUUAUUACAACCUCUACCAUUUCAUACCCAAUACUUCAUUUCCAAGAGUUACCCCCCCCCCCCCCCCCCCCACCCCCCCCUCCCCCCCGCUCUUCCGAUCUCCCCCCCUCCCAUGACCUCUACCACACACUUUACCUCUUUUGUUCUUCAUCACACUACCUCCUCAUGGAAUAAAAUCACCAAGAGUUACUGGCAUUGGCUGCUUCAAUUCAUCCCCCUCUUCCUCCUCUUCAUUUUAUUGAUUCCAAGGGGUUUGCAUAACUCUUCCAUUUCCUUUUGUUCUCCAUCCGGCCCAAAUAUAAUUUUCUUGUUUACUUCUAAGUCAGCACUAUUAGAAUCAACCCCAACACUACAUUCAAUAACUCCCCCGGGAGCCUCCAGCUUCAGGGCCUUCUCAAGCACCUCAAAAUUGUUACAUAAAUCCAUGUUCAAAUCAUCCACAUUAUGUGUAUUCAACACAACAUGUUCAUCAAUCUUCUCAACUUGCACAGUAUUCUCACAUGAUCCACUUGACUCAUCUUCCUUCUCUUCAUUUCCUUUAGACAUUAUUUCUUUCAGUUUUUCAUUUUGAAUCACCUUUUUCCUCCAACUCGGCUUAAGAGUCUCAUAUGAUCUAGUAACAGGGGAACUUAUCGCUAAUUCCAUACGUUCACCAUCCUCAAGAACAAUAUCAAUUGAAUCUGGGCAGCGAGAUUCAUGAGGUAUCAACCAGAUUUUAACAUCAAGUCCUGCACGAACAUAGAUACGAAUAGGCUGUCCUAUUUGAGCCACAACCCAUCUAACUCCUUCAGGAUAGAUCAGCUAUGGAGGAAGAGAAUGUAUAGUAAUCCAUACUAGUUUCUCUUUUGGCGAAAGAUCCAAUGGUUGAAUACCUUUAGACCAACGUCUCUAUACCAGAGUAGCAUGGUGGAUGUGCCACACCCUAAAACCCAGUCACAUAAUUCCUUAGAAGGGACCUCCAACAAAUAGAAUCCAGUACACAAAAUCGAUAUAGUUAUACUUCCUUCAUAUCCCCAAAGUCGAUUUGCCAUUGACACGAAAACUCUCAUUGGCGGACUCGAGCCUACAAACUACACAACCAAGGCUGCUUGCAUUCUUUGACACCCUUUAUCAAGCACCUCUUUAGGAAUCUUCACCACACCAUCAAUUAAAUAAUCAUCUAUAAGUUCCACUCUUCAGCAAAGGCUCCGGAUCCAAAAGUGAUGCCCAGGUUUUAGCAGGGGCAGCAUAAAACAGAGGAUCGGAGACUAAAGGAGCCAAGGAAGAGGAAUCGGUGGAGAUCUGGGGAUCGGAAAUGGGUGAAGUCGGAGAAGGGGGAGUGGAUUUUCCAGACGGAACUUUCGUCAUUGAGAUCGAUCAGAAAAGCAGGCAGGCGUGAUUCUUCUAAAGAUCUUGGAGAUUCUUCGGCAAAGAUCUCGCUCACCGAGAGUACUCCAAAGAAGUGCACCAAUAGAGGAAGCGCUCAGGCGACGGUCUUUGAGACACGGAUAAAUCACUUAUGUUGAGAGAAUUUUCAGUCCUUGUUUCCACUUUUCAUUUAAAAAACCCAGCAUUUCAUUCUAAAAAACACAAUAAAGGUCACUACUUCCUUUCUCAUGCGUGUGGAUAUUUAUGAUAUUUUUUAUUUAAAUUUUUUAUAUAAAUUUUUUGUAUUCUAAUCACCCAGACUAAAAUCUCUCUAAAUCUAUCAUCCAAACAAUCUAUUGGUUAAAUAGCAUAUACACUCAAACUCUCUAACUAUUUCAAUAUACUAGCUAUUUGAAUUCUCCUUCUACGAAUUUGCAUGCACAAACAAACGACCCCUAAACCCUAAUGAUUCAAUUGUUCUGAUCCAUUAUCUUAUUUUAAGAUGAUUAAAGUCAUCUCCUCCUAUAGGAAAACCCUGAUAAUCUGUUAGCACGGGUUCUGCACGCCAAAUACCACCCUUAUUACCAUUUUUUGGAUGCACACGUCGGGUCGAGACCCUCUAAGGGUUGCUAGAGCCUGCUCCACGGUCGGUCAUUGCUCCUUCAGGGCUUUCGUCGACAGGUUGGAGACGGCUCCACCAUCCCUGGCUUCCUACUCCUGGACCACGUCGACCAACCCCUCGCACUCCUGGUCAUUUCACUGCCACGUCCUGGGUGGCUGACUUCAUUGCUCACGGGACUUGGCGGCUUGACCUCCUUCAUCACUUCUUCCCACCGCAUACUAUCCGUCGAAUAUGCUUUGUCCCUCUUCCCAUUUCCCCCACCUCAGACCGGUGGAUAUGGAACCACUCUGCUAACGGAACCUUCUCAACAUCCUCGGCAUUCCACUUUGCUCAGCGGCGGCCACUUGCCAAACGCGAAGCUGGCUUCCCCGCUUGACUCCGCACUCUGGCACACCGUCUGAUCCCUCCCAGUUCUCCCAAAGUUGUGCGUCUUCCUUUGGCGUAUUCUACACCGAAUCCUCCCCACCCGUGAGGGCCUACAUGAUCAAGGGAUGACUCUUGACACCUCCUACCAUGUCUGCAUGAACACUGAGGAGUCAGUUGAGCACCUUCUCUUUCGGUGCCCGCUCACUCGGUGCCUGGGGGCACUGACUUGUUUUCAUCCCCUCCCUUUCGAGAACACGAUUGUUUGGCGCUCCUUGACCUAGUCCUCUCCCGAUCUUCGUUCCCGUAUCGUUCUACUAUGGUGGUGCAUAUGGAAAUCCCAGAAUUUGGUUGUCUUUGAGCGCCGCCAGGUCCUUCCAGAGGUCCUUCAUCGACAAUUCCUACGCCAGGUUGCGGAGGUGCCGCUCCUCCGCCCCCUUUUUCGACAACCAACUGUCACGACUCCUGCUGCAUCGGCCCUUGGGUGGUCGCCUCCGCUGGCCCCACACCUCGAGAUUAAUGUCGAUGGAGCGGGUUUGGCCCCGAUAGGUGGUGUAGUGGGGUUGGUAGUUCGAGAUGCAGGAAGAGUAGUUCUACUGGGUGUUGGUCGGACAUAUCCAGGAAUCCUUGAUCCCUAUGUCUUGGAGUUCCUGGCUUCUGGCAGGUUGAUUUAGAAGGUGAUGCAGAGCAAGCCCUUUCCAGGCUGCGACAACAGAGUCCUCGGUGUGUGGCCGGUGGCGCCAUUAUUGUGGGGGUCCUCGCAUACACAAAGGUCCUCACUUUUUUACGUCUCCUAAACAGUGUGAAGACCAAUUUCACUAUCUGGGCCGAUAUUUAAUUUUUGUUGUGUCCCUUGCUAUCUAGAUUUCCCCUUGUGAAACUAUAUCUCUGCCAAAAAAAAACAGCCAUCUCCUAUACAGUGUCAUACAAUGUCAAUGGUAAUAUGUGCAUCAAAUAAAAUUUAGCAAAAUUUAUACCGUUUGUUUAUUUUGAAAAUAAUUAUCUAUUUGACCAACUGGUGUGUUGUUAGAAUCUAAACCUUCCAAGCAAUCGCUUAAUCAUGCAUUCUCCACUUUCAAAUGGUGCUAAGUUUGAGUUCGAAAUGAAGAAGCGAAAGAUACACGCUUGACCAUCCAUCAAUCACUUAAAAACGUUGUGUGGCACAGAAAGGACCCAGGAAAUUAGUAGCGAAUUUUCCUCGUGUCGGACCAUGGCAUUGUCUUCUAGGUAACCCCGAUAAAUCAGUUGGCUCCUACAGGAGAGAAAUGUCGAAAAUCAUGCCUUCAUGACUGCGUACAAUGGAUCGGGUCCCGGCUACUUCAUGCACUUUCAAUCCAUGUUGAGUGGCUUCUUUCACUACUAAAGAGUCCAUGCUGCAGGAGAAAGAACAUCAUCAGUGCCAAAAUAUAUAAGAAAACUCCUGUGCCUCGGCUGCAACCGAAAAGUACACAUCAAGCAAGUUACUGACAACAGAAGAAUAAGCAAUGGUUUGCCUACUCAAAGAAAGUCUCCGAGUAAUCUAGUUGACGAAAUAAAAGAUAUUAAGUAGACCAUAUAUAUAAAUAUUAAAUCCUUACACUUUAGCCCGGGAUACAUAGGCCAGUAUGAAUCUGCAUUUGCCUCUUUGAAAGCGAAGUAACUGUUCCACAGUAUCGAAAAGCAGAGGGAUGCUUGAUUGCUGAAAACGUAAAUGCUGUUAAGGUUGACAUGGAAUGCUCAGUUGCUAAUACUAUACUACAUGAGAUGGCGGCUUAGCAAAAAGUCAGGAUAUAGAUAUCAGCUCCCAGGAUUAGAUCGAAACCACCAUGUGAUCUUUCUAGAAUUUGGUUUACUUGAUCUGAGUUUCCCCAGUCUAGCUUCUCAGCAUGUAAUUCUGCAUAGAUACAUACAUUUAUAUGAAAAAGGUGAUAGGAUAGAGAAAGAAAUUAUUUUUGAAGAUUUUUAUUUCUCUUCUUUUACCAGCACAACAAUCAGGAUUCUCAGAGGAUGACUGGAUAUCUACGUUCUUCUUAAGAAUCUGAAAUAAAUAACACAGACAUAAUUCAAAAUCGCGAGGCAGAAACAUGGGGAUUCAAGUUUUGACAUCUAUGUAGCAGUCUUGCCUUGAUAACUUCAUUAUUAUGGUCCGUCAACACGACUCUUUUACAAAAUCUACUGCAAAGUAUCCCAGUGACUCCUAUACAACCACAGAAGGAGAGGAAAUGCUGUCAUGAGAUCAUUAAUAGACAGACAGAGAAAAGCUGAACAGGCUUUGCAAAUAAACAAGUAGUCCUAAAAUUAUAGCCCAAUCUAAGAGUCCUUUACAGCUUCUACACCUGCAUAAGUGACCAGACACCACAGGCUAGUAAUUGGCUGGAACUUGAAGAUAAUCAUGUAACAGAUAAAUGAGGUUCGAGGAUUAAGAACGUGGAGCAAAAAAGGAAAGACAGGUACAAUCUUCUGUUUCAAGCUACAUCAAGAAGAAGUGUUCUGUCUAACUCUUAAGAAUAAUUUACUGCUUUACAAAUACAAAGUGUUCGAGUAUGUUUAAACCAGACAACAAACAUUUUCUGAAAAUGUACAUGCACUGAAGGCAGUUCCUUUCUUUACUUCCAAGUGCUAAAAGUUCACAUAUUAUCAGAAAGCCAUAACGAAGAGAAGAAACACAUCCAGUCAAACCGAUGAAGAUAACAGAUAGAGAAAAACGUCACAAGUCUUGGAGAAAGUCUUACCCACACCAGACCCUAAUUCGAGCACAGAACAUCCCCGUAGAAUCUCUGCAUUUUCUGAUAGAUAAUUGUUUAAGAGGGUGGCACCAGGCCAUACCAGUUGUCCUGUCAAAUCAAAAUCAGCUGUGACAACUAUAGUUAGAACUUAUCUUCGGACAUACAGCAACAAUUGGUAUUGAUGAAGCAUGUACGCAGUGAAUUGUGCCUUAGCUAACAUGUUCACAGUUCACCACUAAUCUCUAGUGGAGACAAGAGAUAGCAGAUGCAUCCCAAAGACGUGUUUAGUAUUGGAAAUACAAGGCAUAAAUGCAUAAUUCAUAUUGGCACAAGAACAACUUUUCAGAGCUCCAACAUCAAAUAAGAACAAACAGUCGACUCGCUAAUGGGAGCAGACCCAGUUAAACUAUGUCAAGAAUACCCAACAACCAUUACAUUCUACCAAAGCAUAAAGGGUUCUGAUAUCAUGGGCAUCGAAAAACCAAUUUUGCUACGAAAAACAAAGGAAACCUCACUAGAAGCAGUCUGAAGACACAACAACUGAAGAGAGUGAGAGCCGAACGUGAAAUUCGUCAACUGGUAACUGCAUAAGAGAGGUAAAGACAUUUCUACACGAAUUAGAAAGAGCAUUAACAACUAAAAUCCGUAAUCAGAGACAGCUAGAGUUGAGCAUGAGUUACUCACUCGUCAUUAAUGAAGAACGAUUCGUCUAAACAAACAAUCUCUUCUUCUUCUUCCUCUUUUCCUUCAUUCGCUGUUCUCAUUCUUCUACGAGCAGCCGUCUCCACCGAUUGAUUGAUGUUUUCUUCACUGCUUUCUCUCAUAUUUCGCCGUAUUCGAAUUCGACCUCUAAGCUUCACUUGAAACUCGGCUCUGUAAUGACUGCGCACCAAUAUGCAAGUUUAGUACCUGUUUAGUUAUUAUUUUUGGCUGGAACUAUUUUGUAACGAGCGUUAUUGUUCCGCUACCGCCCGGGCAGUGUAGUUUGGGUUUGACUAGAUGGUCGGAUGUGAGGAGGUGUCGAAGCUAAUAAGGUAUUUUGGUUAAAAUUAUUUUUUUUAAUAAUUUAAAAUGAGUUAUUUUGAUCAAAAUAUUUUUUUGACAUUCAACAUAUAAUUUGUGUUAUUUUGGAUCGUGAUAUUUUAAAUAACUAAUUUUCGAAUUAUUUCAAAUAUCUCAUCAAAAUAAUUCGUUUAGUAACCAAAACAAAAUAUGUGGUAUUUCAAGAUGUGGUAUUUCAAAUAUCUCCCCACCAUCUAUGUAUUUAAAAUACAUCACUAUUUUGAAAAUGUGGUAUUUUCGUUACCAAAUAUGACAUUAAAUAACUCAUUAACUAAAUAAGAUAAUUCUUAUACUAUAAUAUUUUUAUACCUCAUAAAUACCAUAUUCUCAAAUAAUCUAUUAUUUUAUUCUAAAAUAUCUCAAGAUGGUUUAGACGACGAUUUCUAGCAAGGAGUAUAAAGAAGGAUAGUAUUAUGGGUGUCGGGCCUUUGGUGUGUGAGAUUAGCUGUAAACGUAUAACGCAGUAAGAGUGUACGGCUGUGGGCGUGCUUGAGUCUAAUGGUUGAUAUGGUGUUGUAAACGCAGUUUGUUGAGAACCUUAUAUAGGUCCAUAAUGGAAUAUACUUUAUAAUGACUGAAGAUUGAUAUUAAGUUUUGAAUUAAGAGAUUAAAUACAUGUAAUUUAAAAUUAUCUUAUUUUAAUCCAAAAUAAGAUUUAUCUAAAAGAAAAGUGAAANNNNNNNNNNNNNNNNNNNNNNNNNNNNNNNNNNUUAUAAAUUACCAAAAAAAAACUGUAAAUGAAUUUAAAUCAAAUAUUCCCAAAAAACCAAUCAUAUAACGCAACCAAUUACACUACAUAAAAAAUAAUUUAAACUCAUCUUAAAUACCACUGAAAUCUCAAAAUCUUUCAAAUCCCACCCAAAUUUAAACUUCGCAAAUUCAACAUGUUUACAUGAAUGCCGAAUAAAAAAAAUUAUAAAGUUUGUCUGGCUAAUCCUUUACAUUUAAUCAAAUACAUAAUUUUAGUAAAAUUUCCUUAAAACAAGCCAUGAAUGUAUGAUUUCUUAGUCUUUUAUAAACACAAUAAUUGGGCCACACAUGUUUCUUCAAAAAGAGUAAAAUGUGACCUACUAUAGUUUUCAGUAACUACACAGCAAUUAUAAUUUUAAUUCUACACCGCGUAUUAUUAUAGUCUAUUUAGGGAGGUAUAUCGUAGCUAAUAGUAGAUCUCUGGUAAAACAACAUAUAAUUGUCCUACAUAGAUGCCAUGUCAAUGCCACCUAUGUAGUGUUAUCUCAAGAGGUUCCAAGCAGCAAUGCUUCAAGCUAUGAUGAGUCGAGAGAUCUAGGAUUAAGACAGAAUCGUGGGCACCACUUUCCGAAAAGACUAUUUUCACCCUAUAAGCCUUGGGUAUCAGGAAACCACUUCCGAGAAUAAGACCGUCUACACUCGAUUUCUUAGACUUUAGAAACUGGAGUCACUUAGAAUUUCGUAGGCUAGAAGAUGUUUCUAUCUGUUUUCCGACAAAACUGUCUUCUUUAUAUAGGCAAGGGGUCCUGGACUGAAGGGGUAUAAAUGUAUGUACCAAGAGGAGUAAUUAUCUCUAUAGAUAGACAAGAAGGUAGUUACCCCUACGGGUUUGGAGGGAAAACAACUCAGUAUUUGAGUUUGAAUCUCACGAAGAGUUGUGAACCAAUCCAUCCUAGGUGAAGGAGUAACCACCCCAACCACCUAGCUCCCCACCUUCACUGGAGCUUAGCUUAGCAUCGUAGCUAGUGACACUAGUAUCCAGCUCAAGUUGAGCUGGAUGAGUUACAGUGUUAGCCCCUAGCAUCACCUAGCACAUAGAGGAGCUGAUAUUAGCUAGUUCCUGCUUGCUUUGAACCAAUGUGAGGUUUUCCGUGAUUUCAUGCAUCCGUACCAACGUCGGCAUAGCACCAAGGUCAAAUUCAUAGUGCUGUCAUCACACCAAGUUCAAACCCUAAAUACAUAUUUCCAACAUGCAGGUGCGCCCAAAUAUUAAAAAAACUCUCAUCCUCAUCCCCACUCCUUCCAUUUAUACCAUGUCAAUACGAUGGAUGUUCCAGACUUCCAUAGUACUCUCACUCUCUUCCCCAAACCCCGACCAGACUUCUAUAGUACUCUCACCCUCUUCCCCAGACCCCACUCCUUCCAUCUCCACUGUCCACCUCUCUUCUUUUCUUUCCCUUCAUUAUAUAAUUAACAUUUUAAUAUUUUAUCCGCAAUCCACUGACCAAACACUACUCUCUAUUUUUUCAAACUCAACACUCUCGAUUUUUCUAUUUUAUCUAUCUGUUUCAAACUCAGUCAUUUGUCUAUUUUUUUCCUUUCUAUGGUGAUAGAAGCAAUGGUCAUCGAUGAAGUAACCCUUGACUUGGGUUAUAGUUCGGCGGUAGCUUCGAGCAUCAUCGUCAAAAGGUAAGCGAACCAAACGUCAGAGACCUCUGUCUCCCCUCCCGUUUCCCGGACGACCGAGGCGAAAGUUAAUCGUAAAUCUCCUAUUGAAGAUUAAUGAAGAAGCGGAAAGGAGUUAGAUGUGGGUCAAAAAUGUUACUCGUUCUAAUAUUUGGGCCCCACCUACACAUGUGGCAUUUCCAUGCAUCCAUGUAGGACAAUUAGCUGAUGUUUUAUCGGAAACCUGUUAUUGGGUACGGUAUGCAUCACUAAAUAGACUAUAGUGGCACGCGAUGCAGAAUCUAAAUAAUAAUAAUAUGAAAUAACUAUAGGCUGUAGCGGUGUGAGCUGCAUUUUAAUCUCUCGAAAAUCAUUAAAAUUCAAGACCCAACCCACCAAAAAUCAAUCUCGUCUCGAAUUUAUUCCUCCGCCUAUUUUCUUCCAUUCUCUAGGCAGCUAUUUUGAGUUUCUUUCAAUCCACGUGAGGGAGUACUUUCACUCACUUUUCUCAGCAAGGACAUAACCUACCCCUAUGGAGUUGUUUGCGGAUAUUCCCUGUUUGGUUUCCUUGGAGACCAAUACUGACUUGUGUUUAGUAGUGGAGGAUUAUGAAAUCAAAAGGGUAAUUUUGCUCAUGGGGAGGGAGUCCAAGUCCCCUGGCCCUGAUAGUUUUUCGGGUAAUUUCUAUUGGAACUAUUGGGAUACGAUUGGGAGGAACGUGUGUAAGGAAGUUAAGGGCUUCUUCGAGUCGGGGUUGAUCCCGACUGGCUGGAACGACACCCAUGUUGCGCUUAUUCCCAAAGUGCCUAGCUCGUCGAACAUCUCGUAAUUCCGGCCGAUUAGCUGUUCUAAUUUCAUUUACAAGGGGAUCUCUAAGAUCAUGGCGUCUAGGCUCAAGAUAUGGAUCUCUAAGCUGGCUUCAAUGGCGGGUGAAAAAUCCAAGAUAACAUUGUUAUUGUGCACGAGGUGCUCCACCAAUUUCUGAUUAGGAAACGAGGGAAGAGAUAUGACAUGAUGAUGAAGCUUGACAGGUGGAAGGCUUACGAUCUCGUUGACUGGGAAUGCUUAUCUACGUUGCUCAACCGAUAUGGUUUCUCCCCCAAAUGGUGGCCAUGGAUUGAUCAAUCCAUCUGUACAAUUAGAUUCUAGAUCCUUUUCAAUGGUCGACCCACAACUCCCUUUACCCCAGCGCGAGGAAUCCGUCAAGGUGAUCGUUUGUCCCCUUUUCCUCUUCAUCUUGAUGUCCAAUCCUCUUUCCUUCUUGAUUGAAAGGAGUAUGGAUCUCAUCACCAUUACUGGGGUUAAACUUAACUGGUUCAGCCCCCGCAUCUCCCACUGCCUCUUCGCGGAUGACACUGUCAUCUUUGGCAAGGCUUCUACGGAAGUGACUCUAAGGAUCAUUGACAUUAUUAACCAGUAUGAGGCUAUGAUGGGUCAGGAGAUCAACAGACAGAAGUCGUCUGUUUUCUUCAACGACAAUGUCCCUGAUUCGAUUAAAAAUGAUAUCCUCCAAGCUUCUAAUUUCGACCUUGUGGGCGGCCAUGAUAGAUGCUUGGGCGUCCCCACCGAGUGGGGCCGCUCAAAGAAUGAGACCUUCUCCUUCCUUCUGGAUCGAAUGGGGAAGCAACGCCAAGGUUGGAAGUUCCUCCUAUUGUCCCACGUCGGGAAAGAAACUCUAUUUAAGUCAGUCACACAAGCAAUUCCCACUUACAUUAUGAGCCUCUUCCUGCACCCUAAGCGUAUGACCAAGAAGAUGGAUGAUAUGGUCCAAAACUUCUUUUGCGCUGGUUUGGUUAAGAAAAGGACAGUAAACUACUGCAAAGGAACCAGGUUGUGUACCCCCAAAUAAGAAAGUGGUCUUGGAUUUUGAGAUUUCAGAUUCUUCAAUAAGGCUCUGCUCGCAAAGCAAGGAUGGAGGUGAUCAAUAGUCCUGAAUGUUUUGUGGGCUAGGGUUCUUAAGGGUUUGUACUUUCCCAACGAAACCUUCCUUACCGAGGGCAAGGGCCGAAGGGCGUCCUGGAUUUGGUCAAGUCUGUGGAAGGCCCGCUCAUCUUUGAACCUUGGUAUCGUCCAUUGGAACGAGGGAGUGGUCUUCUUUCGGAGAGGAUCCUUGGAUCCACUCCCUUCCUCUCUCUCACCUGAUCGGUGUUCCACAUGGAGUGGUGAUGGUGGCGGAUGCUCUCCCCCGACCCGGGAAUGGGACACAACACUCCUAGAGACUGUUUGCCUGCAGACGGAGGUCGCUGCCAUCCAACGCAUUGCCAUCGGUCCGGAAGGUGCGGAAGACUUCUGGGCUUGGAUGCUUAACUCGAACAGGAGGUUAUCGGUUAAGUCAGCCUACCACGCCUCUAGGCGUAAUGAGGUUUCAUUCUAUCAAAAUGUGACGAUGGAGUAGAAGGAGGGAUGGAGCUAGUUGUGGAAGAUUAAAGCGCCUCCGAAAGUGUUGUUCUUCAUUUGUCGAUGUGUGGCUAAUGCCGUGGCAACCAAGCAGAAUCUCCAUGUCAGGAGAUGCUCAACCUCUCCGAUUUGCAGGAUCUGCAAUUCCAGGGAUGAGUCGUCCAUUUUUCAUUAUAAUAUUGCUUGCCCUCAUGUCAUGUCCACCUGGACUACUCUCUUCCUCUCUACUCCUUUUUCGCAGGAAACAUGAUUUGCUGAUUCAUUCUUUGCACUCAAAGGGAGGCCGAGUUCUUUCUUGACCAAAGUCGCAUUUUGUUGUUGGAACAUAUGGAAAGCUCGUAAUGCGUUUAUGUUAAUUGACGUGUGAAUGUCCCUUGUUCGAACAGCAUGCCUCUGUAGCUUGGAAUGGGACGUGUCCUCCUCGCCUACCCACCUUGUCCAUAUCAUCGUUCUGCCUACUCCACACCCUUCUACCACUAGUCCACCUCCGAGCAAUCACCAAGUGGUGAUUCACUGUGACGGAUCAUUCCUACAUGAUUCCCAGGUGGCGGCCUACGGUGUUGUCAUUUUCGACGCCCAAGGAAGAGUUCUUGACGGGAAGGCGGCCACGUUCCUCUGUUCGUCUCCUUUUUCCGUCGAAGCUAAGGCGGUGCUCAUGCCGGCGACGCUUGCAUCCCAUUUCAGCCCCCCAGUGUCUAUCCUCUCUGAUUGUCAGCCCCUUGUGCGCUUCCUCAAUGGCAACAAUGCCUUUUUCAACUAGGAGGGUUCCGCCUUGACGGCUUCUGUUUCGCGGAUUCUCCUUCACUCUCCUCAAAUUUCCGUUAGGUUCAUCCCUCGAAAAGAGAAUUCGGUUGUUAAUUGGGUUGCUUGUAGUGCGGCUGCGGGUUCUCUGCCUGUGAAUUGGGCUUCUAUGUUAAUGGCCCGUAGUGCCUGAUGUGUUACCCCUCACUCCUGUAUCUGUCAGCCUUUGAGAUUAAUGGAAGAUGUUUUCUCUGUAAAAAAAAUAAGCUAUUUCGAGUUUCAAUUCUUGCCAUGAAUACGGAGAUUAAGAAAAUCUAGAGGCUGUGAAACUGAAAUUAUAAGUGACACAAAUGAUGAAUAAAAUAAAGAACACAUGGACAUCAGAAAUGGAGUGUUAACAAAGGAUCAUAGCCCCCAAUUAACGACUCCAUCACACGUUUCGGUCACCUGUCUUCCUCUCAACCACCUUUUUCAUCCCCCUCCUUCCUCUAUUCGUUCAUUUCAAGGCCCCCCCUGCACCUGCACCUGCAAUUUUAAAUUUCCUUCUUUUCUUGACGUUGUCUUUCAAUCCAGCAUAGUAUUUCAAGGUAAACAAGUUUAUCCUGCCUUGUCUUCCCCAAACUUCUAGGGUUUUCUUCCAAACCUCACGACUUAGGCAGGUGUCCUUCUUUCUUUCCCUUUUGUUUUAUGUGUUCGUUUCUUGUUUUCUUGUAAGUUUUUCUGUCUUGCUUUUGGAUCGAGCAAUCGACGGAUUGUUUAAUCUUUCACCUUUAGCUUGAUGAAUUCCUUGUUCGGUUGUUUUUGCUUUUGUAUCGAAAUAUAUCAUGCUGCUAUUCUCCGUUGACUGGGCGGAUUGAAGUUUUGACGUUGUAUCCUUACAAUUUUUUGAAUUUUUAUAUGGUCUGGUGCCCUCAAAGUUCUCAAUUUCUUGAAGUUCGAGUCGGCAUUCAUUGGCUGCUAUGCUCUACAAUUUGUCAAACAUUCAUUAUUACUUGUCUAGCAUAAAUUUUUUCACACGGUCCUGUCUAUUAUCAGCCCAGUUCCUUACCUGCUGCUCCUCCUAUUCCCAUGCCAGACAAGCAUGCUAUAGACUCGACCGAAGUGUUUACUUUACUGCUAUAAAAUGUAUUUGAGAAAUGUACAUGGAUUAGUUAGAAUCUUUUUGAUGAUAUUAGUUAAUUCCUAUGUCAGUUGUUGAUAUAAUGCUAGCAAAGAAGGCCAUGCAUCUCUGUUCAUGGCAGAGAACUAAACUGUUGCGUGCAUCGAUUCCAGUUUCCCUUCUUGAACUUUCUUCAGCAAUGUCGAGUUUGGAGGAGCCGCUUGGCUUUGACAAGUUGCCUAGCAUGAGUACCAUUGACCAGAUUCAGAGGUUUUCAUCUGGUGCUUGCCGGCCCAGUGGUGAUGAUUUGGGAAUGGGACAUUGUUGGAUCGAUGGAAGGAAUUGCAGCUCAUCCAACAGUUGUGAGUAAGUGCAGAUACUCCUGUAUUUUGUUUUAAUUGGGGUGAACUUUAUGGAAUUCCGUUAUAAUUUACCCUCUGUUCCCUUUUUUUUCAUUUGGUUACCCAUUUCGAUACCAUUAUCACGAACUCUAACCAAUGAAGCUGUCCUCUUGGUUUACUUACAUCUAAAACUUAGUCAUUAUCUUACAUACCAAGUAAUGGGGUUUAGAGUUUCAGAUUUCUAAGAAGAGGCAUUUGAGUAUGUAUAAACUAGUGGGCAAGCGAGUGUGAGGCUUGCUUGGUUUUCAAAGCAUUGCGAGGUUGAUGGUUAGCUAACUUCAGUCAAAUGAAAGUUCUUUGAAUCACUACCAUAUAGUUUUUAUAUCUUAUCAUUGAAAGUUCUCAGCAAUUACAAUACUUAAUGGAAGUCUCCAUUGGGGACAGAAAUAACUGAGUUUCAUAAAUCAAUUUCAGUUCCCCUGCACUGGUGUGCUUACUGUCGUCAAUAUUUUAGUGCAUCUGUUUUUGAUCUUGCAAGACGUGCCUUAUAGAAAUGUUUCAUAUAUAUGCAAGCUUUCUAAUUGCUUGUUAUAAACCACAUUGACUUCAGGGAUGACUUUGACUAUACACGAGACACCUUUCCCUGGAGAAGGCAAACAAAAGGUCUGGCAAAUGGAGAAUCCUUCAUGCGAAGGACUAGGAGCACGGGUGGGAAUCAUAUUGCUCAUGGGAGUAUUCGUCAUUCACGAUACUUUUCCAAUUAUCAUAGUGACACCAAGAAUAGUGACAAAGAUAUACGAGGCACAGCAAAUAAGGUGGUUAUAUUGAACUGUAUUUUAGUUGUGCUUGACGGCAUACUAGAUGUCUGAGCUGCUAUUUUGGUCUAGGAAAUUAGUUUCCAGUGGUCUGGUGCUGAGUUCUACUCUGAUAUCAGAUUCUCCCUGUUUGGCCGAAUUAGAUGCCUUCUGAUCUUUAUCACUGUUGUCUUUUGUCUUUCUGAAACCAGUUACUGAAAGGUAUACCGAAAUUCGUGAAGAUAGUAGAAGUUGGACCGAGGGACGGAUUACAAAAUGAGAAACAUAUUGUGCCUACGGAUGUCAAGAUUGAAUUGAUUCGUAGGCUAGUAUCUUCUGGCUUGCCAGUAGUGGAAGCUACUAGUUUUGUAUCACCUAAAUGGGUUCCUCAGGUAAUUCAAUUCAUUCGUUCUUCAGUUUUGUUUUAUGCUGCCAAAUUACACAUAAGCUUGAUAACUGUUUCUUUUUCUCAUAAACGAUUUAGAUAAUUUUGUCUUGUAGAGAUGCAUAUUCUCAACCAUUAUAUUCAUAUUUUCCGCUGGUUGUAAUUCUUUCCAGCUGACUUAUUGUCACUGUUAGGAUUGCAUGGUCAGUAAAACAGUAGAAAAGCUAUUACCAGCUACCAUAUUAUUAAUUUUAAUUUGAUCUAUAAAAGGAGAACAUGAAUUACUAUUGAUGAAUAGUAUUUGGUUCUCUUAUGAGGGCUUUACAUUGAGUUUAUGAAAGCUUUAUUUUGAUCUCACAUAUUAUCAUUUAUGGAUCUUGUGGUACUUUCCAUUCUUCAAUUGACAUGACUUAAAUUGUCUCACGUUUUCAUUUUUCUAAUUACAAAAUUAUUUGUUAUACGUUUGAAGUAGCAAAAAAGAAAAGUUCAUCUAUCUUCACUUAUCCUCUAAAACUUUCCGCAUCAGCGGAUAAUUCUAGUCUUUUUAAAAGGAUAUUGGCUCAAUGUUUCUUCAGCGUCUGAAAAUUGAACUGAUGCACAUAUUUAGGGACCGAUUGAUCUCUCUGCUCUUCUCGAAUGUGUUAUUACAAUUAUUUAUGAUCUGUUGCCAAAUUCCUGGGAUUUGGAGAAAAAUGCAUGCCAAUGCCUUGUCGAAGUCUUUUCUUAGGAGCACAAGUAGGAUUUUAGUUGGUACCAGGGGAAGCAGUGGCAUAUCUGUUAGAAUUUAUAGCUGCUACUUAUUUUGACAUGUGCAACAUUUCCUUUAUGUCCAUAUAUCCGUAUCCUUGUAGAAUAAGAAUUUCUGCAUUGUAAUAUGCUUAUUUUCAUGUAUUCUUGUUGGGCUUGUCUGUAGGAGUAAGGAAAGUUUAGAUAGCUUUUGGUGCUUCUUACUUAUCACUGUGAAUCAAAAGACAUUCCUUGUUGUCUGUUGACUUAAUUGGUACAUUCCUGUGUUGUUCAACCUUCAAAUAGCUUGCAGAUGCAAGAGACGUGAUGAAAGCAGUACAUAGUUUGGAGGGCUCCAGGUUACCUGUUCUGACACCUAACUUAAAGGUGAGUACCUCUUCAAUGGUGCAUAUAGCGUCAUCUUGAUGAACUAUUGUAUAUUCUGAUGGUUGUGUGAAACUUUCAGGGAUUUGAUGCUGCUAUCGCAUCUGGGGCUAAGGAAGUAGCCAUUUUUGCAUCAGCUUCUGAGGCAUUUUCAAAGUCCAAUAUUAACUGUAGCAUUGAAGAAAGCCUUGUUCGUUAUCGCACUGUUACCCUAGCAGCAAAAGAACACUCUAUCCCUGUUCGUGGGUAUGUUUUAUUUUACCGUCCCUUCAGGAUGUUUCAAUCUUCACAUAAUAUGCGGUUCUAUAUAUGUGCUUUUUUUAUAAAGUAUAUUCUAGUUGGAUGAAUAGUCGUUUUUAGGUGUGUUGGCGCAUGGAACAUGUUCAUAUGACUUGACGUCCCAUCUAUACUCCCAUUUUUAUCUUCUAACCAAAGAAACCCAAAACUGACACAUACUUUGGACUAUAGAUAUCGGAGUCUUUAGUUACAAGUUGUUGUCGAGAAUUUAAUUUUUGCUGCAUGUGAGUUAAUCAACCUGUUAUAUACCAGUCUGGACCAGUUUAUAAAGUUGGUUGAUUUUUGUCCCUUUUUAUGAUGACCAUCUUCUGAAAAAGUAACUUGUUUUGAGUUUGUACAGAUAUGUGUCAUGUGUUGUUGGAUGUCCGGAAGAAGGGGCAGUAUGUCCUACCAAAGUAGCCUAUGUAGCAAAAGCGCUUUAUGAGAUGGGUUGCUAUGAAAUUUCUCUGGGAGAUACAGUUGGUGUUGGUACACCUGGUAAUUCCUUAAGGCUCCUCCCCCUUUGUUCAUUCAAACCACCAUUCAUUCUGGUAGAAAUAUUUCAUUUUUUCCUCUUACUUGACAUCAGGAACCGUUGUGCCAAUGCUUGAAGCUGUAUUGGCAGUUGUUCCCGCAGAGAACCUUGCUGUCCACUUCCAUGAUACAUACGGGCAGUCUCUUCCAAAUAUUUUAGCAUCUCUCCAGGUAAAUGAAAGAACUUACUUUCUUUCCACGGAAAAUGCUAACAGGUCAACACCUGUUUUAUGAUGAUGUUUGCCAGCUCACUCGGUAGAAAACUAACCCUUGUUUGUUCCGACAGAUGGGUAUUAGCACGGUGGACUCCUCGAUUGCUGGUUUGGGCGGGUGCCCGUAUGCUAAGGGAGCAUCGGGGAAUGUUGCGACAGAAGAUGUUGUGUACAUGCUUAACGGCCUCGGGGUGAAGACAAAUGUGGAUCUUACGAAGCUCCUCUCAGCGGGGGAGUUCAUAAGCAAGCAUUUAGGCCGGGCACCGGGAUCGAAGGCAGCCAUUGCUUUGAGCCGCGUCAUAGCUGAUGCAUCCAAAAUUUGAUGCUACCACCACCAGGAUAGGAUCGAUCUCAUGUGGUCUUAUGAGAUGUAUAUUUGGCUGUGAGUGAGAAGAAACUCGAUUACGAUUAAUUACGUAAAUCAAAUGGGAAUGAUGAUUAUUCCUGUAAAUGUACCAAUUAAUUACCAUGGAUUGAUUCUGUGACAACAAGCUACGUGUCUUGAUAGCUUCAUUCAAUUCAUACCAUUGAAAGGGGUUGAGGUGUCAUAGUGUGGGCAGGCAUGCGGAAGAGGAGUGGUGCUUUCCAGUUAUUUACACUGCUGCAUGGGAUGGGGUUUUCAGAUUCAAAAAGUUCAUUUGACAACUUUUCCUUCAAUUUACAGAAUGAACCUUUGCACUCAUUUCCCUUCCCUUCAAAGUUUUUAUAAUUACUCUUUUCAAUUCAGACCAAGGGAAGCGAUAUUGGAAACUAUAUCAAGUUAGAACAAUAUCAGAGACUCGUUUGAAGGUGAAGGCACACGAGUGUCAUAAUAAAGAAAGAAACAUGCCUUCACCUCUCAAGGUAUUCCAACUCCAAGGAGAGUCAUGAUCAUCAUUGUAGAAGCAACAAACACACACUCGCAUAACCUGUAUUGAUGGCUUAUUAGUUAUGAUUAGUAGUACUAUUCUUUUCUUUCAUUUUGUUUUGUGUGUGCAUGGCUGUCCCAUCUAUAUCGUCUUCAUUGCUUUGGAGUGUCUUAUGAUAUACACUUCUCCAUUACUUGCUACCAUGCACGAUUUCAUUUGUACUAAGACCCAAAAAAAGCUACAAUAUUCUUUUAUAUAAAAAUACAAAUAAAAUGCUGCUACUUGGAUAUUAAUGUUAUUGUUAGGAAUAUAUUAGUUAUGGUAUAUGAAUGUUCGAGACACAUUACCAUUAUAUGUCUAUUACCAUUAUAUGUUUGAGACACAUUAAUAAGAAACCUUUUCUCCUUCUACUCUUAUGUUGUCUUCUCUUUACUUAGUUUUUUAAUACGUUAUCAACACACGUUAUCAGCAUGAUAAUUUUUUGGAAAUGGAUGAAGGCUACUCUAUAUAUCCUGAUGUUUAUAUUUUUCGGUUUUUCUUACUAUUGAUUUUCUAUUUGGGUUUUAAAAACUAUAUAUCCUUUAGCUAUCUACUGAAGUUAUUUUAUCCGGCUAGAGCUUUUGCAUCUUUUCAAUCUUCAUUCGCUCUUCCGAUCUCAUGGGGUAUUAUUUGGCACUACCAAUGGUUAUAUUCAUGAUUUCUUUCUUUCUUUUUACUUUCAUGUGCUCGCAUGAAUACCCCUAACGUUAUAUAUACAUGAAAAGCAAGGUUUAAUUUAAAAAUAACAUUUCGGUAGAAACAUGUACCCGGUACAAAUACUAGAUUGCGAGUAUUAUUGGAUGUUUUUGAAAUAAUAUUGUUUUAACACCUACAUAAGUAAGUAAAUGCAAAUCGAUCACCCAACAAUUAUUGUUGAUUUAAAAAAGUAAAACCAUUAACCACAGUCUAACUCUAUUUUCUAUAUAUCAUUUUAUUUUUAAUAUUUUUCUUUAAUCUAUCUUCUUAUUACUUUCAUUAUUCAAGUCAAAACUCAUUCCACCACAGAAAAAUACAAAAAAAUACAAAUACCAUCGUAAUUUCAAAAACAAAAACCUCUACCAUUACAAUCUUUACAUUCUUUUUUACAGAAAAUGUAAUAGAUAUUUGAAGAGUGAUGAUCAGAGUAGAUUUCAGAGUGAUGAUCAGAGUAGUUUUCUUGGCCGCCCUAGAAAAUUGACGAGGUCAAAUGGCAUGGCUCCAUCCUCUCCUCUUUGAAUAUUGGGGUUUUAUUGUAACUUGCACCCUCGCCAUUGAAUGGUAAUUAGAAAGUCAUAUUGUUAAUUAGGAACUCCGUCAUUGUUACAUAAAAUGAAACCUAGCUUCAGGGUGUUCAGUUAAUUAUAACUAGUUAUAAAUAAAUGGAGAAUCACGAUCGGGUCAAAAGUCAACAAAACUGAAAUCACUUUUGUUUACGACACCGAUGAUUUCAUCAACUUUGAUCUGAAAGUUGGGAUCCUUCACGGUGUUCCCGGGACCGGAAUGUGGGAGAGCGUUGACCUUUAUCCGGUGGCGGUUGACGGGUGGAACGGGAUGGACACUAGUAAGCUUGCAGUGAUUAAUAAUGCUGGGCAUGCUUUCAACGUUGAGAAACCCAACGAGUUCCUCAAGCUCUUCCUCGUUGAUUCCAAGUUCCCUUUGGAUACUAGUCUGAAUCCCGAUUCAACCUCUUAAUUAAGCAUACUGCAGAUUGGAUUGCCUUACUUGUCACACAACUUGUUAAUAUCUCUCACGCCUGUUCAUCCUCAGCUUACAUUUAUAUGGAAGAUCGGGCAAACUUGGAUGUGCAGUAGGGAUGAAUUAGAUUCGGAAAGUAUAUUGGACUUAAUUCGGAAAAAAAAAUAUAUAAUUGAUGUGAAAAAAUGUUAAAUCAAAUUAACAAAAAUUUAAAACAUUAUCAUUCUUUAUUACGAUAUUUAUGAGGGUUGAGCCCGAGUUUGAGGCAGACUGUGAGAAUCUGACUCUUGAUAAUCUACCUUCUCUCGGCGGCGACAACACUGUUGUGAUUUUUGGCUGGAGAUCUAAGAAGGAAUUAAGGUUAGGGAUGAAUAUUGAAAUAUUGAUUACUUUGAAAUAUUCUGAUCACCCAAAACAUUUUCUGUAAAAAAAAAUGAACAGAUUGUAAUAGGAAAGAUUUUUGUUUUUGAAAUUAAGAUGAAGCUUGUUUUUUCCAUUAUUAAUGGUGGAAUGUGUUUUGACGUGAAUGAUGAUUAAAAAAAGAUAAGUUAAAAGGAAAUUAAAAAAUAAAAUGAAAUAUGGUUAGAUUUUGGUUAACAAUUUUAUUUUUUAAAAUCAACAAUACAUAUUGGGUGAUUCAUUUGCAUUCUCGCUUACAUAUUUAGAUGCUAAAACAAUAUUAUUUAAAACAAAAACAAAAACAAAAGCACCCAAUAAUAUUCUGCCAUAUAACGUUUGUACCGGGGGCCUGUUUCCACCAAAGUGUCCGCCUUUAUUUGUAGACUUAUGAAAAAAUGCCGAUUUGAUUUUGUGUAUUCGUGGCUUCAUGUAGUCCUUGGUGUCAUUUGAUUAUUCUCCCCUAUAUUUGCUUAGGGUUUAUGAUUUAGGUAUCUUUGAUGAAGAUGUGUACUUGUCCAGCUUCACUAUGUAUAUUUUUCAUUAUUUGGUAAUACCUCCAAUUAAUUACACAAUAGUUGCCGUCAUAUGUUUCUAUGACUAUUGAGUAUUGAUUCCAUUUAUGCCUUAAAAUUGAUUAUUUCAUUAUUGUGUGUUGUUUUCUAUGCUUUUAUAUAAGUACUAUUUUUAUUAGCAUUUUGAUAUUUAUGUGCCUUUAUUAUUUGGUUUAUAAUGAGUUUAAUUCACUUUAUAAGUUUUAUAAAAGUACCUAUUUAUGAGUAUUGGAUGACGCAAUCUAAAUAAUCAAAGGUGAUAUGAAAUAUCUCAUCAAAACAAAGUCAUAAUUUUUAUAUCAUUCUCUAUCACCUCCAUGAAUGGUUGAGACAAUGAGUAUGAACUCAUAUAUCUUGUGACAUAACAUCAAAGUCAUGUAUGGCCACCACAGGUGGCUAUUUUUAUAAAAGUACGAUCCGAUGGAAGGAACCAAGAGAUACAUAUUCUCAUAAAAGGAUCGAAUAUCUUAUAUGUCUCAAAUGACGAAGACUUAAUGAGACACAACAUCACUUCAUAAAGUGGACGAUUAUAAUCAUAUGUCCCCAAAGUGGCAAAUACAUCAUAUAUUCUCACUAGUAUACUAUUGUGGAGGAUGAAAACCUAUUGUGUUUUGGUCGUGAGAACAAAAUUACAUAUUAUCCCAUGAAAAAGUGUUGUGAAUUGAUGUUGAAAAAUUCCAAUCACAUGAAUGUUACCAUCAAUUUUAUUUUGAUGAUCAUAUCUAAAUGAUAUUUUAGUCCUCAAAAUGAAUGUGCAAAGCCUCAUAUGUUACAUUAUCUUGAAGCGAAUGUAACAAUAUAAGAUCAGUAUUCCUAUAAGGAACCUUUUAUGUUGAUGGGUAUAGCAAUAGUGGUUGUAUGUUUAUAGAUUGUGUUUGAAUUAUUAAUCUCUCCGAUUGUGUUAGAAUUAUUAAUCUCUCAAUUGGUGACAUGGAUGAUUGAGAAAUAUCUUUAUCUAUCAUUUAAACCAUGCACCAUUCUCAUGACAAACAUGAGUAUCUCUAUGAUGAGAAUCAACAUAAUAUAUACUUCGAUGAUAUAUAAAUCUCAUCGAUAUUGCAUCACAUAUUGAGUAGUACAAAAUUAAUCUUAAACUAUAUAAGAGUUUUUGUGUUGUUCAUCAAAUGAACAAGAUCCUUAUUCCAAUAAAGUGAUGAUCACAAGGGAUGAAAAAUAAUGUGGUCUAUGACCAUCAAAUCAUUUGAUCAAUAAUUCUAUCAUCCAAUAAGUGUACUAUGCACAAAUUUGCAUAAUAUUAUAAAUAUGAUGGGAUAUACACAUCCGAAUUGCUAGCUUAAUCAUUAUGCCAAGAAAUUAUUAUAAAUAUCUCCAUUCUAUUUGGUUUUUGGGUCAAAACGACAUAUUGCCCAUAUAUGCAUAUAUGGAUAUACACAUCUGAAUUGCUCCACCACAACCAAUGAUGGGCUCUCAACAUAGAUUGAGAAAUUACGGUGGGGGGGGAGGUGUUAUGAAUGAAAAAUUUAAAUAAAUNNNNNNNNNNNNNNNNNNNNNNNNNNNNNNNNNNNNNNNNNNNNNNNNNNNNNNNNNNNNNNNNNNNNNNNNNNNNNNNNNNNNNNNNNNNNNNNNNNNNNNNNNNNNNNNNNNNNNNNNNNNNNNNNNNNNNNNNNNNNNNNNNNNNNNNNNNNNNNNNNNNNNNNNNNNNNNNNNNNNNNGCCAGACACUUCACAAACCAAAAUUGAGUAAAGCUCUCAUGUGCCAACUCGAAAAGCUCCAACAAAAUAAUGCUGAUAUUAGGCAAUCUGACAUCACAAAUGAGUCUAAACCCAACAUACAGCGUGGUAGAUCACUCGGUUCCAAAGCUAAAAUCUUUGGUUUGAGGCAAAAUCAUAUUCCCAAAAAAAAUGAUCACUCGGUUCCAAAGCUAAAAUCUUUGGUUUGAGGCAAAAUCAUAUUCCCAAAAAAAAUGAUCACUCGGUUCCAAAGCUAAAAUCUUUGGUUUGAGGCAAAAUCAUAUUCCCAAAAAAAAUGAAAAGUUUUAAACAUAAAGUCUUUAUAUAUUGAGAUGUAAACCAAAUGAGACAUAUAUUUAUCUCAUUAUAAUAAACUUAUAAUAUAUUACUUAUGAGAAAAUAUAUUCUCUUGUGGUGGAUGCAACUAUACUUUUCAUUAUUUGAUUACUCUGGUAAUUUGUGAAGGGAUAGAGUUUGCAAAUAAUAUAUGUCAUUGCAACAUAUAUGUAUGUUUUGCACAAUACGAAUACACAUGUGUAUAUAAAAUUUCCGUGACAAUUUAUGUUGCUACAAGCAAACAAUUCAAAUUGAUGUGAAUAAAUUAUAUCCAAUUGACGUCAUAUGAAUUGGAUGAUUAAGAGAAGUGGUCCAUUUAGCAUAUCAUAUAUUUUUCUAUGCAUACAAUUCGAUUACUUUUCCUAUGUUGAGUUAAAUUUUGGAUGAUGAAACAUCAUCUUUGAAAUAUUUUAUUGUUUCAUACCAAUUUCUUGAUUUUAUUUUGUAUUUUAAAUGCAUUUAUUUUAUUUUUUAGAUUUUAAAUGUCUACAUCAUCAUCUUUGGUUUCAUAGAUGAUGUUGUUACCGGUUUUCGUCCAGGCUUGGGACCUAUUUUAUGGUCCGAUAGAUGGUUAAGGCAGAUCGAGAAAGUGGAGCUCCAGUAUUUGAAAUAGGGAUAAGGAUGAUAGAAUUAGACCCGAGAAUUUAAGUAAAAUUUUGGCUGAAUUAGGGAGGAGUUUGAUCGACUAGGCGAUUUAUCCAGUUUGAAUUCAUCGUUGGAGUUUAGUCCACUUUAGGCAAAUCGACGAAAUUUUCGAGCAUAAUAUCAAGUUUAAUUAGCCUAAUCCCCUAGACCGCUCAUAAGUGCCUAAGGAGAAAAGUUUUGAUUUAAUUGAGAUCUCAUUAAGCUAAUUUUCUGGCAUAUUUUGGUUAAAUCGGUUCGAUUUAGGUGUCAUUGGAUAUAAAAAGACAGUUUUGCCCCUGAGCAUUUAUGAGGUAGGGGGAGUGUUAUGAAUCUAUUAGUUAUGGUAUAUGAAUGUUCAUUGUAACUCCCACCUAUACAUUGAUCAUGUGAAUCUAUGUCCUCCAUUACACUCAUUUAUUUGUAUUAAUCUUAGAAUGUAUAGGUUAUGUAUCAUGAGCCUACCAAUAGUGUUCACCAUUGUAUGUUUGAGACACCUCAAUAAGAAACUUUUUCUCCCUCUGCUCUUAUGUUGUCUUCUCUUAGUUUUUUAAUAGUUACUUCAAAAUUUUAUUUUCUAUACCUUCGAACUUAUUUUAUUCUAUUUUUUUAUUAAAAAAAUCACCAACUCUCCAACGUAACCAACAGGUCGCGACACUCUCCUUUGUUGAACCACCAAUAGCGGCGAUGUCGCUAAUCUAGAUCGUAGAGGAACCCCCUCGCCUGGUAGUACGAGAUGUGCAUCAUUGGAUCUUUUUUUACAAAAAGGGAUGACAAUCUGCAAUCAGUCGGUUGGACGUUGCCAACCGUGCGACAACUAGGUCAUGGCGUUGAAAUGGAUGUUAUGGACCCUCUUCCGCUUCAAGCAUCACGUCAACGUCGAGCAUGUGAUGGACGGUGGACCAUGGAGCAUGGAUCAGCAGUUGAUGCUCACCCACGAACUCCAACACUGUGAGAUCCCCCAACAGGUAUCCAACAAAACGACGACCUUUUGGGUUCAGUCCACCAUUUACCUUUUGGGUACUUUUCAAAAGCUGUUGGGGAAGCAAUCAGGGGCAAAUUUAUGGAAAAAUUUGAGAGUACCAUUUGGAAUUUGCUAUUCCAACACUAGAUAUUAGAGAUUAAUAUUGAUUAUGGUAUAUUUUUAGAAAAAUAGAGUUGAAAUUCGCAUUGAUUGAGAAAGAUUUAAGUUGAUUGGGGAAGAGUUAAUAUUGUAGAGGUUUGAAUUUAUGGGAAGUUAGAAAAUUUUGGGAAGAGGGAGAGAAGUUGCCGGCGUUUAAUGUUGGCCGAUUGUUUUUUUUUAAUGUAUAAGAUGUAAUGGGUUUUUAGGCUCAAUUGAUUGAGGAGCAGCAAUACAUCUUCCGGCAGGUAAGAGAUAGUGUAUAUUUUAUAUAUAUAUAUAUAAUACAUCUAAUGGCUUAUGCAUAUUGUGAGGCCCCAAAUAUUUGAGGCCUUGUGCGGUAGGUCUGACCAACACAAAAUCUGGGUCGGGCCUGAAAAUAUAUAUUACAUAGGUGUUUAUUUCGUAAAGUAUAUUGAAUUUGAUUUCGAAAAAACACACAACUCUAUCACCAACGUAGCUCCGCUAAAAAAAACUAGGUUGAAUACUAAGAUUCGGAACACCCAAAGAAAUAGAUAUUGGCGCAUUAUUAAUUCUCGGAAAGUCACCCCCGAUGUCGACGUUAGAACGUGGAUGGAAACUAGUUAAUUAAAAUGACUUGGGAAUUGGGGAAACGUGAAUUCAAAGGCCCAAAGAACAUGGAGGAUGGAAGAAGGUCUGUGUAUGUGUUUUGGGUUUGAUCGAGGCCAUGAUGUUUUGAUUAAUAUCUACAGUAUAGAUUCCAGUGGGCAACACAACAAGCUAAGAAGAAACCUUCUACUCAAAUAUAAAACACUAAUAGCUAGCUAGUGAUGCUAUGUAAUCCGGGAAAACCGAUUAUGUCCCGUAAUUGUACCAAGUACAUCCAAAACGCAUUCAAUGUUCAUCUCCUACAAGUUAUAUUAAAUAUAACGAUGCCAGUCACUUAGCUAGCUUGCAUUUAUUUAAAUAAUAGAGACCCGGGAGUAUUGACUUGAUUCUCGGGUGUUAGGUAUGGGUUUAUAUUUAAAUUUAUUUUUAAGAAAAAAAGAAGUGAGAUCCUACAUGAGUUUGUGACGAAAGCAAGGUGUGAAGCAUUCAUAUAUACUAGGGGUACUUCCAGGAACUGCGCAUAUGAACUAGAACUAGACUAGAAACUAGAAGGUUUUAGAAUAUAUACAUAAUAUAGUUAUAACUUGUAUUAUCAUGGAAAUCUAGGGGUGUAGAUGCGAAAUAACAAGGAUUACCAUCAAGGGAAGAGAGUAGGUAGCUUAGCUGGGUGGAUUUGAUUUGGCAUUGAAUGCUAUGAAUGAAUUGGUGGGUUAGCAUUUAUGAGCUAAUGUCCAACCACAACAUGACAUUCCUUCUUCCCUACCCGAUGACCACUAAUUGUGCAAUGCAUUUUUUCACUCCAUACCUUCUCAUUUUCACACAACAACAACAACAACAACAACGACAACAAACAACAACAACAACAACAACAACAACAACAACAACAACAACAACAAUUAUUAAGGUUGAACUCUAAUCUCAAUACGAACGAUAAAGCAACUACCUAAGUUGGGAAAGAACGCUUUCACAAAUAACCUCUAUCGCUUCUAAUAAUACCCCAGCUGCACCAUCUCCUGACCCAUUAAUAUUAGUGCUAAUAUCCAAUCUCAAAGAAAAGGUCAGAGCAUCAUCAUUGCCUUUCUUUUCAAUUGUCAAAUAAGACCGAUGACGUAUCAUUCUAUUUAUAAUUACUAGAGAUAUAUGUAUUUGUUGAGUUAUAAAUUUAAUUUUUUCAUAUAAAUAAAAUUUUAUUAGUUAUAUAUUGAACCAUGUUUGUCAAAAAAGACAUUUAUGCAGUUAGCAAUAUAGUGUAAAUAAAAUAGAGGUGACUUAAAAUUGCUGAAUUAUAGAUUAGUUGUUAAAUUGUUUAUAUUGGAAAGAUCAUAUUAAAAAUUACUAAAUAAUUUCUAAAAUUGCUAAUAUCCAUUCAUAAUCCUUAAAAUCAGGAAUAAUAUAUGUUUUUGACUAACUAGUAAUCUAGACACGUGAAGGCAACAACGUUGGACAAAGUAGUGAACCCCUCCCCUAACCCGCCAAUUCCUUUUUAAUACAAAAAUGAAGGUAGAGUGAUCCACUGCAUGCUAGGUAUUUUAGUCGGGAGACCAGGUUAAAUUAAUGACCUCACAUGGAAAUGGAGUACUUCCUUUUUUAAAAAAAAAUAGACGUUGGAAACUUCCAAAGAUUCUCAUCGGAGCAGAAAAUCAUUAAUGUGUUGUAAUUCCCCACGCUUUAAUUAAUUAUAUAGUAAUAUAUAUAUAGAUUUCCCAUGCAACAGUUAACAUUAAUAAGAAACUUGUUUUGCUUUUUUGCUUGUAUUUCAUCAAAUUGAUGACAAACAUCUUCAGCCCCGAUAUCUAUUGAUAUUUCCAAAGCCUUUUUUUAUUAUUAUAAUUCUCGAUAUCAAAAUAGCAAGCAAAUAUAAUCUAAAAAUCGAUCUAAGUUAUGAGAUCGGUUUCAAUUAAAGAGCAUUUCACGUGCCAUUGAGUGAGCAGCUACAUUAGUAGACCGUCGAGCAACUUGCACCUGGAGCCGAUGACCAAGUAGUCAAAGAGGCUAGGACCUCUGAUGAUGGCAUAGCCAGCUUCAUAAAGCGUGCUUCGGUGAGCGAAUCGAGAGAGACCCAACUCAGCAUUGCCAUUCACGUAGCUAGAAAACACCAAUCACAAACCUCAGUCGGGAGCUCCAGAACAUAGGGGUCAAGGAGGCAUGAAUAUUUUCGUUCCAUCACCUGCGAGAACAUGUUGAAGGGAACAAGCUUGUACGGGAGAACCCGAUGAGGCACAAGACCGAUAAAUUCACUUAAUAGGAGAGAAUCCACUAAAUUUCCUUGCAGAAUGUAACUAAAUUCGAACCUUAAAUUUCCAAAUUAUCAAUCACAUGACUCUAUCAAAUGAACUACGCCACAUGGGCCUAUUUUACAAAGCUUUAAGUGAUUGCUUUCUGGCAGAGUGGACGUACAAUAACAUGUUCAUCCUUGUAAUAGUAACUGUUUCCCCACCUGGUCCAUAUACUUUUCUAUGUUCUCUAGAUUUAACAAAUUUGAGGUUUGAAUAACUGAAAGUGGAAGCUAUGGAUAUUACCCUUCACUCACUCAUGCAGUUUUUUUAGAUUUUCUUUUGCUGGGCUAAUUGGUUUACCUUUGGUUCAUAAUAUUAUGGGUACUUUUUGUUCGGUGGAUGUACUACAAUUCCAACUGGCAAAGGUGGUACUCUCAUCUCGCCAUAACUUCUCCACUGAGUCCAAUGUGGUGCAUUUACUCACCUAUCUAUAAUAAUGUACAAACGUACGUUCAAAAAUGAAGCAACAACAUAACACCCACAUUUAAUUCCUACGUUAUUAAUUAUAGGAAUAUCGCUCAUCGCAUUCGUAUAUACAAUGAUUACCGUUACACUUACAGUAACUCGUUACAAACUGUAAUCCAAUCUCACACUAUUAGUUUGGUGUCGGAUCUUGUAAUAGCAAUUGAGUUUUACUCACAAGUACGUACUUUAAUGGUGACCAAUGGUAUCAAGAGUCGGCUAAUCGUGGACCAGUUGAGGGUGGAAAUUCAUAUAAGAUUUAACUGUUCGAAAAUUUAUCAUUCAAGAUUGACUACGCAUAACUGCCUAGUCAUAAUGGGCCCCAACGAUACAUGAGUUGAUCAGUGGAACUCUAUAGCGACCAAGCCCAUAAGGUUAGCAAACUUAGCUUGCUUAUCGCAACUAGGCUGUCGCCUCGGACAUGUGUCGCUUCAUCUCAUUGAUUGUCUCGGUUCGAUGGUCAAGAUUGUCUUGAUGAUAUCGACAACUAAGAUAAAACUACACUGUUUAACGACAAACUAUAUAAAUAAUGCCUUACUACCAAGGCGAAAAACAGACUAUCAUAAUCACUGAGGAAACAUUCCCCUCAAUACGUAUUUCUUGUUCAUUUCCUCUCCUGCCUACUCUCGAACCACCCGAAAACUCGCUAACACACAUCCUAUUUCAUACAUGUGUAGGACUACAACAAUCACAUACCGAAUGUCACUAUUGUCCACUCUAGGGAGCCGAACAAUUAAUAACUAUUAAGUCUGGACUUAAAAUCAGAGGGUCAAUAUUCUAAUUUCAUGGCCGACCUCUCUUUCUAUAUUAUAUGAUAUGAUUACUCAGAUAUGACUCUCAAGUAAUGUUAGCUUUUCUUUAUAUGAUUCCACAAAAAGUGAAUUGAGGACAACAUCAUGGUUUUGUUUCUAAGAAAAACUACAAAUUCUCCUCAUAAUCACCCCUCUCUAUUGCCCCCCACCAAUUCGAUCGGUCAGCUCCAACCUAUUUGACCCAUUUUCUCCUCAUUGAUUACCAAUUCAUCAUUAAAAAUAAAAGUAAACCGCUGAGAAGAACAACGUAACUGGCUACAUUUAUAUUCUUUAUGUGAGCUAUUUGAGAGGAAUUUUUAUAUUAUCUAAUUUCUAAAAAUUAUUUAGAAAAAUCAAUAAUAUAAAAAAUAGUAUUUUCGGCACCGACUGACGAGUAUAUUACCUUUGAUCAACAGUGUUUAAUUUUUUUUGUCUAAUUAACAAAAUUCAUGUAUGAUUAGACUCGUAAAAAAUAUUUAUUCACCGGUUUGGAUCUACAUUUCAUAAUGUUAGAUAUAACUACCACAUUAUUUUCUACUUAGACAUACAUAUUUGUCUGUCCAUUUCAUCCAACUUUUGUUAUUCACAAGAUGAUCUUCUUUGUUAUUCACACAAAAUCUUUGCAAGAAACAUUACUAGAAAUAAAAUGUUUGGUCUCUGUUGUUGGUCUUUUGGGGCAUCUAUUGGCAUAAACUAAUCCAAUGCAUGUUGAAAGAAUUUAAGAACGGUCGGGGUGGAGUUUAUUGCAUGUUUCAUUUAAGGUAUGUGUUUGGCGCCUGAGGAUUUUGCAUACUAAUAGUAAUCAUAAUUAAUUGUAGUCUAACUCAAAAUUUGAAAAUAACUUGAUAUGUUUGCUAACAUGCUGUAGUGAUGUUCAACAAUCCACAUAUACAAAAGUUUGAAAUCUGAAUCCAAAUCUGAACGAUUUAAUUCACUUAUCAAUCACAAACCCUAAUUGUGAAUCUGAGUUAGAUCGCAGCGGAAAUCGAACAAAAUCUUAAAGGAAGAACAUACGGGAUUGUUCACGCUGUUCACGCCAUAAAGACCCUAAUCAGCGGAGUCUCGGGAAGGGGAGACUAAACCCAUAAUUAGCACUAGAUCCUCAAGGAGAGUCGAGAGUACAAGUUAUAACGAACAACCUAAAAGCGUUACAGGCAACACAAGAAGAGAAGAACAGCAAGAACAGAGAAUUAAAAACAAGAGGGCUUCACAAGAAAUAUAACCUUGUGACUUGAAACAACAAUAGAAGCUUCAAGGCUAAUCCAACAGAGCAAUCGCCAGAUGAGCGAAACCCUAGUUCUUCACGGCGCUCUCAAUCUUAAUUGAUUUGGAACCUGAUGCUUCUCUCUCUUACUUUGGUAUUACAGAUAGGAUGGCUUAUAUAUUAAGCUGAUCCGGCUUCAACACAUCAUUUUAUUAGUGCCUAGAACCGGGUGGCCUCAGUCUGAUUCAACCGAGAGUCAACCGGUAAACCUUGUGAUUUGGGUUGGACCUGAGUCAAAUAGCAACAAAAUCCAACGACAUAACAAAAUAAGAGAACAAUUUAACUAACAAUCUAUAAAUGAGAACAAUCUAACUAACAAAUCUAGAAACAACAACAACUUCAAGUAGCACCAGCAGCAUCAGCAUCAUCAAGUAGCGCCAGCAACAUCAACAUCAAGUAGCAGCAGCAACAUCAAGUAGCAGUAGCAGCAGCAGCAAGCAGCAACAACAACAACAUAACAGUAGCAGUAGUAGCAGCAGCAGCAGCAAGUACCAACAACAAAAUCUGAAGUGAUUUAACAAUAAAAAUAAAGGUAAGCAAUUCAAUUUAAAUAACAAAUCGGAUAAAGUUAGUACAAAAGAAAGCACCAGAUUUUCAGAAAGUACCUUUCUUGAUCUCAUCUUGAACCCAACUCCUCAAGCACAUUAUACACUCCAUCGUAGUGUAGUGAAGUCUACUUUGAUGUGGAUCAAACAAUCUAUCGCCAGCGUUAAAGGCUGCUUCGGAGGCAACAGAAGUAACCGGUAUAGCUAGCAAAUCUAUGGCAAUUGCUUGCAAAGUUGGAAAUUUCACACGAUUAUCUGCCCACCAUUUGAGAAGAGGUGAUUUAGGUGAUCACCGAAUGAUGUCCUCAUUAAGAUAAUUAUCCAACUCAGUUUGAUUAAAAACCGUCUGUGCCUUCUUUCUUUGACUUAAUAGAUUUCAAAAUCCAUAUCUUUAGUCGAGGAGUUUUGAGUAACUUCAUCCAAGGGAUGAACAUUGUUAGCACCAAUUUUCGCCUGAUGCUCACGAACCAUGUCGAUAAUCAAUUGCUUUAUCUUCUCAAGAAAAAUAGUACAAGAAGAGUUGGACAAUUUGACCUUUUCUCAUGAAAUUCAACACUGGCAGCUUAUAUCGAGGAUAAAAAACAAUAGAAAUCGCCAAAACCUCAUGAAUUUCACUCCAAUAUUUAGCAAACUCCAAUCACAUCUUCUCAGCCAUAUUUUGAAUGACAAGGUUAGGAUCAAGAAGCCAUUCUUAGAUCUUCACAUUAAGCUCACAAAUCUUGGAAAGAAGAGGUUGGUUGUAGGAUAGCUUAGACCAGAAAACAAUAUCACAAUAUCAAGAUGACAUCAAAGAUCUCCAACUUGUCAAAAACAAGACUAGCAAACUCCCAAUCUGUCUCAUUCGUACACAAUGUGAAAUUAAAGUCUUGUUGUUUCAGCCUAUAUAACAAGUCCUUGUAAGAUAUUACAACCUUCAACAUCGAGUAGGUGAAGUUCCACCUAGUGGGAACAUCUUGGACUAGUUGUUUGUCAGAAGGAAUAUGAAGUUGCUUCACAGCUUCUUCGAACAACUCCAAUCUCUUAGGCGUUGUCGUCAAAUAUGUGACACUAUCUCUAAUCUUCUUGAUACCACCUUUCAAUAUAUCCAACCCAUCCUUAACACUCAGAUUUAGUACAUGAGCUACACACCGCAUGUGCAAAAAACACCUUCUUUGAUAAGGAAGGAUGGUACCAAUUUAUUCUUCAAUAUCUCCAUCAUCUUGUCGUUAGUAUUGCAAUUAUCAAGAGUGAUGGUAGAUACCGUAGCAUCAAUAUUCCAAUCCAUCAUACUUUCAUGAAGUAUUGCUCCUAGUCUAUCAGCAGUGUGAGGUGCUGGCACAUACAUGAACCUCAACAUGUGGGUAUGAAGAUGCCACUCAUUUUCAACAUAGCGUGUCAUCACUACCAUAUACCCCUUCUCCUGAUUAGAGGUCGUCCGCAUAUCGGUAGUGGUUGCAACCCUCCCAUUAUUACCAUAGAUGAGGCUCUAAAUCUUCUAUUUCUUACGCUAGUAAGCGCUGAGAAUAUCCUUCUUAAUUGUAUUCCGAGACAGAACAUGAUAGACAGGCUGCAGAGAAGUGAUGAACCUUUUGAAAUACAGAUGGUCCACAAUAGACAACGGAUACUCAUGCAUUACUAUGGCGAAGCCUAACACUUUCCUAGACACUUCCGCAUUGAAGGUGGUAGGAACGAGUUCCUUCUUGAAAUUAGACAAGUAAGGGUCGAGUGUUUUUUGUUUUCUAUCAUGAAGCUAUCUUUGAAUGCAAGCUAGUUUAUGAAUCUUCAAAUGAGAAGUUCCAUUGUUUGAAUCCCCACCCAGCAGCUUCCGGAAGUGCUUACAUCUUGCCUUGAUGAAUCCCCUAAUUCGAGUUUUGUAGAAAUGAGCCCAAACAUCACUCAUAAGCUUACUUAUAUCUAAUAAUUCUUUAGUAGGCAUAGAAUUAGGUUGAGAAGCUACUGCACCUGUAAUUAAAAGAGCCUCCAGUAUCUGCAUUCGUGACAACAAAAGAGUCUCAAUAGCAAUUACUGGCACAAUUCCGACUGUUGCACUCAAAGGUGGUGUAUCCAAACCACCAUUAUUAGCUAGGGAUUGAGAGGGAACAUGAUUAUCCAUUAUUAUGUAAAUUUUGUUCCAACACAAUUUGAAAUGUAAAGAAGCAAAUUGAGAAAGACAUUAUAGAAGCAGUUUGUAUACCAGUAUAAGUAGUUAAGAAGCAGAUUACUAAAGUGUCGAGGAGUUAGUUAAGGAAUCAUUACUAUUCAAAUAAGAUUUGUUAUUUUAAAUUAAAGGAAGCAUAUUACAAACUUGAAGAUGAAUUCUAAUAGGAAUAAAAGCAGUUUAGCAUUGUAAUCUACUAAUCUUCUAAUCUUAGUUAAGCAACUAAAGGUGAACUCAGUUUGACAUAAGUAGUACACAUUUGGCAUUGGAUUCAUACCAGUGAUCUUUCUAAUCAUAGUUUGGCAAACAAAGAUAGCAAGUUGAUCAUGCACCAUCUCUGAAAAGCAUAAAAUGCAAACUUACAUGUAUGAAGUUUUAGUAAGUUUACCAGAAUAUAGGAAAUAUAAAACUACCCAGGUUCGAGAAGAUAAGAACAUGGAUUGAGUCAAAUUCAGCAACUUUUACAAUCACCUAUAUGGCAGUACAAAUUAAGGAUCAAAAUUUAUAAAAUACCGUACACAUCAAACAUAUGAACUUAAAAAUUAAAACUGAUAACAAUCAUAAAAAUAAACUACUACUCACUAAUAUAUGAAAAAAGAUUAAAGAUUGAGGAUACCUUAAACUUAGGUCUUGACUUUUGAUACUCCUUGAAAUUUGAAAUAUAGGAAUUCUACACUCGAUAGAAUCGCUCGCUGGUGCAAAGUAGCGCAGAAAACGAAGAACAUAAUUGGUGGUGCAAAGAAGGGAAUGGAGCAAGAUAUGCAUUUAUAGCUGAACCUCUUAGAUAGAGAAUCCAUAGAAUCGAUUCUCUAUUUAAGAAACCCUAAUUCUAUGAUUCUAUCGAUAAGGAAGGACUUAACCAUUAUUUUGGUUAGUAUGGUAGAUAAGCAGCAAGUUUGCAAGGGGAAGUGGGAAGAUAUCAAGAUAAUGAUCAAGGAAAUUUCGGUAGCACAUUUGUCGCCGACGAGGAUAUCUGAGAAUCAAAAGAAUUUUGAAAGGGGGGAAUUUGAUCUUGAUUCACACACGAUGCUACCUCUCAUCUGAACAGUGAAAAUUCCAGAAGUCUACUUGCAACUAGGAUAAAACGACAUAGUUUUAUGAUAUUUGGCCGGAUCAGGGAUUUACCCCAGCGCGGAUAGUAGAGAUACCGGCCCCGAUCCAUUGAAGUACAAAAGAAAGUCGGUUUUCCCCGGAUCCGACCCGAGUCGGGUCAGAGCGGAUUUUACCCACAAUUAAGGUUCCAAAUCGCCUAGCCCAGAUAUGUAUGCUAACUCAAAAAAAAAUUGAAAAAGGCAAGUAAGACAAAACUACUUGAUAUGUAUACUAACUCAAAAUUAAAAAAACUUCCACAUGUCAAUAUUGUAACUAAUUGAAACCAUAAAAUGUCAUUGGCCUAUAUGUUCCGGGAGGUCGGGAAAGGGGUGAUAACCAAUCAUAAUCGAAAAUAAUAAUUAUUAUUGUAUACAAAAAUAGGUUAAUCGAUUACUCAAUAUACAUGAAGAUGACCGCUUAAUUAACUGAUACUUAAUCUAUUGAAGUAGGUCGUUAUAUUGACUUUGGCUAAGAUAGGUAUAAAUAUGAAGAAAAUUGGUUCAAUAACUCUCAAAUUGUUAAAUAAUUGACUGACCAAUGUAUUUUAGAUUAACAAAUCAGUUUUAACUGAUUAACGUAAUUGAAUGUCCACUUCUAGUGGGCGCUAAUGUGUCGGUGGAUAGUUCCUUGUUAGGCAUAUAAGAGAGAGUAAUAAGAGGAGGUUGUUGUAAAAAUUUUGAUGAUGAAAGGUUAGGAUCUCUCUUGGUUUGACGUUUGGCAAGACGGGUGGUUGAGCCACAUCUUAUUGCGGUGGAUGCCCUAUUAGGUGAUGAAAAUAAAUGAGUAUUAACCAUUCAUGUAACUAGAACAUGGGCUGCUUGCCAUUGGAUUUUCUGAGUGGGUGACCAUAUACCAUACAGAUUGUUGGGCUUGAAUUAUUCGGCGGUUUAAGUACUAUUAGACCUUUGGGGAUGAGUCGUGAGCCCAGGCCCAUAAAAAGUUUUUUAUAAGAAAUAUUGUGUAUAUUCAUCCAUGGAGGAAGCAAAUUAUAAGAGGUUUAACAAAGUAUUUGAAUGGGUCCAGACGAUUGGCAGUGAGAAGUCUAUGCGAAAGAAUACGAAUAUGUAGUCAUGGGAGCAUGAUAUAUUUCAUGUUGAAUGUGUAGAAUUGUAAGGGCCAAGCAUUCUUAUCGCAUCUGGAGGCGUCAAAGAGCGAAAGGCUAUCCGAGAGGAUCACAUAUCUAAUCUUGGAACAUUCGGCGUGCCUCAAUGCUUCAAAAAGGGAUUUAGGUUCAACCACCAAGGCAGAUGAUAUUCCACCGGUGACCUAUCCUUGAGAGUUGGUAAUGGAAACCCCAUAAUCCACCAAUGAUAUCUUCUCAUUAAAGAUCCAUCACAUAAGAUUUUUUGUUGAUAGCAAUAGUUAUGCGACAGACCCAGACCCAAUGUAGGGUUGGGAGAUUGAGAGGGAUGUGUAUUAGGAUGACUCAUGUCGAUAGAGCCCCAUUCAUCAUACAAUUUUUCGUCAUUGCAAAUAACAACGUCAAAUGAGGUGCUUGCAUUGUUAAAGAUCUUAUCAAUCAGUGCUUUCUAAAUGCUCUACAUAAUAGCUAUAUAUUUGUGAGAAUUUUGAGGAGUGUUGCCAUCCAAAUUAUAGAAAAUCCAUGGCAGGAUGUUUCGACAUUCAAAGGAGGAGGUCUUUGGAAAUAAGCAUAUUAUUCCAGACAUUCCUAGGCAAGAUAGAAUUAUUGUGACAAUGAAUCAUGUCUUCUUCUUUAUCCAUGCUCAAAGAACAUGGUGGGAAGGCAACACAUAUUCUCUUCAAAAUGUUGUGUUUUGUGAUCAACACAUUCAGGAUCGAUCGCCACACGAAAAAAACGAGGGUCUACCAAAGAUUUUUCCAAGGUAUUUGAUCUUCUCUAGUGUGAAAAAUGAGUAUCAUUCCAAUUCUUGGAAUGAUAGAGGACAUGCGGUAGGCUGAUCUGGUUUAGGAUAAUUGAUUGGUAUCAAAGUGUAACAUCACGACCUUUUUCUAACAAGAGACUAUCUGCUUUGGGACUAAGCCUAAUAGAUUUGAUUUUGGGUGCAUCAUGGUGACUAAUUCUGAGGAGGUCACACAUCUCUUUAGUACUCCCACGUACGUUUGAUCUUGCUAGGCUAGGGUAGAGAUGGAUAUGUGUUGGUGACCGACUACACAACCCCUAGGUAUUAUUGGUUUCCUUGGGCCUUUGUGGCCAUACUAGGGUAUUGAUGACCAUGUUGGGGCUUUUGACCAUACUCGGUUAUUAACACCAUAUUAGGGCCCUCUAUACCAGCACUCUAAUGACUAAUAUAUAACAUGUGAGCGUAUUAUCAUUAUUUGCCUAAUACUUUUAAAUCGUCAGCACGCAAUGCUACCUGCUAAACUACUCUCCAAGACAAAUGAUCGAUCUAAUAUUCUCCUACAUAUUAAUGAGUAAGAAUUGAGUAGAUAAUUACUCACUGUGAAACCCUCCCCCUAGAAGACCCGGUCAAACAACCCGAUUCGGCCCAUACAUACUACUCACGGGUUUUACUUAAACCAAAACACAUAGCAUUCAACACAUUAACCCACGAUUCUAACUCAAGUUCUACCUCUAAUUAAACAUAACGAAAACAUCAUCACAUAAAAUAGAGCAUGAAGAGCUCAACAAAAGCCUCAAAAAAACAUCCCAAAACAGUGAAACAAAUCAUCCAACCAAUUAGGAAAGCAUAACCAAAAAACAUCUAAAAACAAGGUAAAAUCCUAAAAAUCAAAACAAGGUCAAACGUCCUUCAAGGUAACUCUCUCUCUCUAGCUCCUGAACUACUUGGUCGAGGUACUGAAGUUGCACUUCUAGUCUUAGGAGGCAUCGACUCUUGACGGUCUAGAAUUAUACAUGCAAGUUUACAUAGACAGUGUCAAUGAUAUGCUCUGAGUGUCUAGCAAAGCAAUGCACUGAAUUGAUAGGCAUUGAAAGAAGAAAUCAAGUAAACAGUCAAGAGAUCAUCAUGGUCUACUCUUGUAAAGCGAACCUAUCAGUCAUCGAGUAGGAUACCUAGCAUCAGCCACCCCUAUCUGUGCAGAUAGCCUCAUAGUGGAUCAGACUAUGAAACCACCCUAACCUUGUGACCUGCAUCUUUAGGCAUACUUGAAACGUCCUAAACCUUUCCUUUAUAACUAGGGAUUGCACAAUCUGAGGUGAUUGACCAAUGCGGCACAUCAUCGGGAUCUAGUCCAACUAUACCUACCUUAUCCUAUUCCGAACACAUCACUGUUCAGUCCUUAAAGCUUCUAGCUCAACAUCAUUUUGAAUUAUGUACAAUAGAUCACACUCUACUGUAAAACCUUGGAGCCCUCGCUCCAAAACAUCAAUCAUCUCAUGAGAAGUCCUUUCGAAGGAAAUACCAAACUAUCCUAUCACAGCUCAACACUUUAAAAGCAGAACAUAAGCAUAAACCCCCAACUAUGUUUAGCUUUCUACCUUAAGUAAUAAGAGAGAAUAGGGAUAUUGGUAACCUUUUAAUGAAUCAUGUAGCCUCUCGAACCAUCUAGCAAAGAUCAGAGAUCGGUCAGCUCAACCUUCCUCCAUUGAUCGCUCCUUUCUUGAGAUUGAGAUCGUCAUUUGUCAAAGUGGACAGAACAUGUUUUAGGUUAUGUAACUUCUGGGCUCCCAGGUCUUGGAUGGAUUUUAGAAAUAGUCCACAACACCCAUGAUGAUCUUACUAUCACGCAUGUGAUGAACCUACAAGAACGUCCAUGAUCCACUUAUAGUCACGUUCGUGAUGUAUUGGUGACCACGUCCACGACGUACUGCAUACCAUUAUUGUGAUUGCGCUUACAAUCAUGGUCAUGACAGACUCAUAGUCACGCCCAUGAUUGUUCACUCGGUCAGACCACAUCUAGAGCCCAAAACUAAACUCAUUACCCGAUUGUCAACCCAAAAUUGGGGUGUCGCAACUCUCCCCUCUUACAUAAGGUUUAGCCCUGAAAUAUGAAUUUAAAAGCUCAAAAAAGGAGAAUCCUCCACGCAUGCUAGCCUCGGUCUCCCAUUUUGCAGCCUCGACAUCCUGAUUUUGCUAUACCACCUUUAGCAUCGGCGUUCCUUACUCUUUGGUCCACAAUCUUAUUGGACUGCUCCAUAAAGGUCAGGUCCCUCUCCAACUCAACCUCAUCCGGUUGGAUUACCUGAUUCGGUUUACCCAUAAAUGCCCAUAGUAUACUAACAUAGAACAUGUUGUGUAUCAGAUCCACCUCGGCAGGCAAGGCCAACUCGUAAGCCACUGGUCCUACCCCAAAUGAUGUUGUAAGGACUAAUGAAUCGAGGAGCUAGCUUCCCCUUCCGGAUGAAUCGCAUCACUCCCUUCCAACGAGACACUUGAAGGAACCUUAUUUCCUUCCCUGAAGCUAACCUCUCUGGCCUUCUUGUCCACGUAUUGCUUCUGUUGAUUAUGAGCCACACCUAGCUAUGCUUGAAUCACCCGAACCUGAGAGGUUGUUUCCUGGGCGAUAUGUGGUCCAGUCAACAACUUCUCCCCUUCCCCAUCCCAUUAGAGAGGGGUCCUACAUUUCUUGCUAUCCCGGGCCUCGAACAGUGCUACCUCUAUGUUAUGAUGGUAGGAGUUGUUGUAAGCAAAUUCCACCAUUGGCAAGACCUUACAAUGUUCUCUACGUACAAUCCUCCCAGCUCCUCCACAUGGGAUUUGAAUAAGAUGGGAAUGAAGCGAGCAUAAUUGAUCAGCCGGUAUACUAUGACCAAAACCGCAUCCUUCCCAUUCACAAGAGGGAAACCACUAACGAAGUCCAUCGUGAUAUCCUCAAUCUUCCACGCCGGAAUUGAUAGGGGCUGAAGCAAUCCUCCCAAUAUCUGAUGGUCAAACUUUUCCUUCUUAACGGGAUGCAUAUCAUAAGCAGAGGAAUACGCCUCAUCUAAGAUGUCCUCCCUCAAAGUGGAUCAGACCAUGAAACUACCCUAGCCGUGUAAGUGGCAUCUAUGAGCUUACUCAACACGUUAUAUACUUUCCUUUAUCACUAGGGAUUGUGCAAUUCAGGGUGAGUAACCAAUGCAAUAUAUCAUUGGGAUAUAGUAAAGAGCAUGCUACAGUAUAUCCUUAGAGCCCUUGCUCCACAACAUCAAUCAUCUCAUGAGAAAUCUUUUACAGUUCUACUCUAUUCAAAGCAGAUCGUAAGCAUAAACCCCCACCUCUGAUUAGCUUUCUUGAAGAGCCUGAAUUGAAGCUACCAUCCCAAAGCUCAAACCUCCUCUCAUGAUAGACCCGAAGAGAUCAAUCGAAGGAUUGAAUCCAAAAAACUCCAAACUGUCAGGAUUUUUACAUAGCUUUCUAACUUAAGGAUUAAGAGAUAAAAUGGAGAUUAUUUACCUUCCAAUGAAUCUCCUAGCCUCUCUAAUCCUCUAGCAACGAUCGAAGAUCAAUCAGCUCCACCUUCCUCCCUUGAUCGCUCCCUUCCUGAGAUUGAGAUCGUCAUUUUUCAGAGUGGAAAGAAUAGGUUUUAGGUUCUGUGACUUCUGAGUUCUCAGGUCGUGGAUGGCUUUUAUAAAUAGUACACCACGCUCGUGAUGAGCUUUCCAUCACCCCCGUACAAACAUGUCAUGAUCCAUCGAUGGUCACGACCAUAAUGUACUGGUAAUCGCGUUUGUGACGUACUGCCGACCACGAUCGUGAUUGCCCUUACAACCAUGAUCGUGACAAACUCCAUGUCUCUGAUCGUUCACUCGGCCAGUCCACUUCCAGAGCCUAGAACCAAACUCAUAGCACAACAGUCAACCCAAAAUCGGGGUCUCACACAUUCCUUAUGAAGUUUGGAUGGAAACAUCUCACCAAGCUCGAAGCAUUAUCGUUGAAAGUUAUGUUGGAGAAAUAUACCAAGGAUGGACCUAAUGGCGUUAUUCCUAUUCAUUUGGGUACUUCUUCGACUCUAUGGAGAGGCAUUCGACGGUUGUGGGAGAUGGUCAAACGAGGGACUCAAGUUAAUAUCCAAAGUGGACGAGACACUAUCUUCUAGUAUGACUCUUGGAUCGAUAACGGGAUCCGACUUAUCGAUUUUGUGACGAAUGAUAGUAUUCAACACACUGAUAUAUUCGAAGUUAGAGAUAUGACCACUAAUCAUGGCGAGUGGAUUUGGGUGCUCCAUCGAUCAUUACUUCCUCUUACGGCCUAAGCCUUAGUGGGGAAUGUCUACUUUUCAAAGCAAUACAUACGAUUCUCUUAUGAGGGGACCGUAUCGUAAGGGUUUGUUCUCUAUAACAAGUGUUUAUAACGUACUAGCCAACAUUCACCCGGCUAAUGAUCAACAAAUUUGGCGCAAGCUUUGGAGAUGGAAAAGACCGAGUAGAAUAAUGCAUUUUUGUGGCUGACUCUUUAAAAUAAGUUGAUGAAAAAUCAUGAACGUGUGAGACCACAUAUUUCCACAUCGCCGACCCGCAAUAUUUGUAAUCAAGAGGAUGAAUCAAUUCUACAUAUCCUGAAGGAGAUCGGUUUUACAACCGAGUGGAAUUGCGGCUGGGGCAGUGGCGAAGCUGGGGUGGGGUUCCUCGGGCUCCCAGCCAUCCCACUUUUGGGUCGAGAGUUAUCUAAUUAUUAGUGUUUUUGUAUAUUUAAGUGGUUGACCUAGUGAUUUGUCAAAUGAGCCCAGUGAUUUUGUAAAAUUGGUCCAAUCUCUUAUUUUCAAAUUAAUUUUUAUUAGGACCCAUUGCUCUAUUUUGUCCUGUCUCCGCCUAUGAGUUGGGGGUGGUAUUAUCCGCAAUCCCCAGGGUACUUGUCUCAUGGCUUUCGCUGCAAAUUUGGGAGUCUGUACAAUUACUAUAGCAGAGCUUCGUGUAGCUAUCCACGGGCUUCGUCUUGCUUGAGAUAGUGAUUACUGGAAAGUUAACCUGCAGGUUGAUUUAGUGGUCGUCGUCGCCUAUGCUUUUAAGGACUCCAUUGGCAAUGGCCGACACUCAGCAAACAUUACAGAGCUGAUGCUCGUCCUUCAUCGAGAAUCAGAUGUUCAGGUCACACACACUUUUAGAGAAGGUAAUCGAGUUGUCGAUCUUCUUGCCCAUCUUGGACACUCUCUUCCUUUCAAUUUUCAUCCGAUUACUUUUUUUUCCUCUAUUUUACAUGAGUGUAUCCAAGCAGACUCUAUUGAUAUUUCAUUCUCUCGAUUUAUUUCAAAUUAAUAAAAUUGAACAUAAAUCCAUAUUUCUAUAAAAAAAAACAUAAACACUCACAAGAUCUCGCCGUGUCAAGUGACCGUUCUACUUUUCCUGAAGUUUCAAUAUGAAAGAAAUUCCAAAGGGGGGACAAAGCACAACACUUAAAAAACUUGUAAAUAAAACACUUGUGUCCCUGUCUCAAAAUAUUAAUUAGCGACGCAGAGAGCACUAAACCCUAUGCAUCUAUUUCUCCCUCUCCCUUGUUGUUUUCUUGACUCUCUCCCUUCAUUGACUCUCCACCCAUUUUCCAGAAGCCUUUUUAGUAGCUGACUCACCCAAGCUCAAACUCCCAAAACCAAAACACACACCAAUUCCUCCAUACCUUUUUUGUUUUUUCUUUUUCUGUUCUUCUAAAAGUUUUGUUUUUUCCUUUUUAAUAAUAAGAAAUCAAAUAACAAAAAAAUCAGAAAAAAAAACAACAAAAACAUCAAAGGCAAGAAAUUAAACCACCCCACUACUCAGUACUCCCUACUUCACUCACUCUCUUGCUUCCUCUCAUUCCCUCAACUAUCAUUCUUUUCACCUCUACCCUUCUUCUUCUUCCUUAGUAAGACCAAGCAAAAAGUCUCUACCUUUCCAACCCAGAUCCAAAAAAAGAAGCCCCCUUUUUGGGUACCUUUCCAUCAGACUCUUCUCCUUCUUCUUCUCAUUCUCCUUCUUCUUGUUGUUGUUGUUGUUUGUGAAAGGUGGUUUCUUUUUAUGAUCAAAACAUAUUAACUAGAGAUCAAUGGGAGGAAUAAGAGUAAGGAAAAUAGAGCCCAUUUUGCUACUUGUUCUUCUCUUCUUAGUGUUACCAACUCCUUCAUUAUCUUCAGUCCAUAAUGAAAAGUCAAGAAGAUUUGCAAGUUACUUUAGGAUAAGUAGAUCAUCAUCAGUAGCAGCAGCUUCUUCUUCUUCUUCUCCAUCAGCAUCAGCAUCAGCAAUGGCGGCGGCGGCAGCGGUUUCUUCAUCUCCUUCUACCCAUCACAUGAUGGAAGUUGGAGGAGGAAGAAGAACAAACGGUGACGUUUUGGGUGCUGAGAAGAGGAAAAUCUAUACAGGUCCAAACCCUUUACACAAUAGAUAGAAUUAGAGAGCUCUCUCUCUAGCUCUUCAUUUUUAUUAUUUGUUCUUUGUAAUUUGUUUUUUUGUUUUAUUUUUGUCAAUCCCUAUAUGAUGAUGAUGAUGAGGAAGAUGGAGGAGCUGCUUGCUGCUGCUAUGAGAUUUUUCUUUUCUUUUCUUUUCUUUUCUUUUCUUUUCUUUUUAUGCCCCUUCUUUUUCUUCUUUCUUUGAUUGUUAAUGAUAUUGCCGCUUGACUUUCUGCAUUUGUAUCUUCAAAAGUUAGCUAGCUUUAAUUAGCUACAAUUUUUUGUCACAAUUGCAUAUACAUUUUUUAACCUCUUUUGCACCCACCUUUUAUUAGUGAUAUCGCAACAGAGCUUAUUUGAGAUUUUAAUUUAAUUACGUUGUUUUAAUGACAUCUAAGCAUAGGAUUAGGAGUUGUCUCUUAACACCUGUGCAACCUAAUAAAUAAGAACAUAUGAUGUCCUGUCAAUGAACAGGAACAACAAAAUAAACGUUGAGCGAUUCGAAACAGAAACAUAAAUAAGGGUGAGAAAUAUAGGUGGGCAUUAAUGUGAG
rnacentral:lncRNA from 1 species